rnacentral:lncRNA from 1 species
CCCAUUCCGUCAUCUGGCUUAUGUUCUUCAUGUAGCAUUCAGACCGAAUGACUCUAUGAAAUUACGUCGAUACUUCCACAUAUUAUGGGUAACGUAGGAGACAUCUCUAUUUUUCCCCCGGGGAAUCUUUAGAAUUCCCACUGCUUAACUUUCAAUUCGCCUCUGACCAUCAAAUGAAAUGUGAAUAACCCGUCCUCCUCUCUUUAAAAUAAGGGGCGCUUUCGGUUCUGUCGGCAUUUUUAGCUCUUAAUCUUCGGGGAUUUUAUUUUAGACCUUCCCGACCUCCGAUUCUAGAUUUGUUUGUUGCAUUGCGAUCGGGGAGGUCAAGAGUACAUCCCGGAUGAGUUUCAGAAUUUUUGGAACUUGUUUAAACCAAGUUUGGGGUUGCAAAAUAGUGUAUCAACGCAAUUAUGGUGCGCCGCGUUGCCUAUCGCAUCGAUAAAUACUUUCCCAGCUCUCAGAGUCAUUCCAGUGAGUCAAUGAAAACUCGAUGUGGGGCGCGGGGAGUUGUCUGUAGCGUCGAUGCCCAGUUUUAGUCAUUAAAUAUCCGCAUUAAGAGGGGUAGAUUGGUCAUUUUCCCACCAUAUGUAUACUCUAUAACACGGGAUUAAGCUCCCAAAUAACCAUAAUACUCAUACUUUUCCCAAAAUUACUCAAGAACUCUCUCAAGGAUUUCAAAAUAAAAACCCAGGUAGAUCAAGAUUCAAUCGUAGGUUUUUGAAAUUGAUCGCAUAUUUGGUAUCCCCAGACCGUAGGCUUCAAGAAGCAUCCUUUAAAUUCCUAAAUAGAGGUACACGGGGUUUAUCCUAAAAACUACAUGGGCUUGAAAUUGUCAAAGCAUGAUUUAAAGAUUUUGAUGCAUGUAUUUUAUGGGGGUUUUGAAAAAUAUACUAUUGAUUAUGUAUUUCAAAGGUUUUAAUGUUUGCUAAUGCUUUAGACUUGUGGUUUUUCCCCCUUGAUUUAUGUAUACAUAUAUGUAUGAAAUUGAUAUUUGAGAUUUAUUCGAGAGCAUGAAUUAUGGACUCCCUCUCUUGUAAUAAUUAAAGAUUUUGGCUUUGUUGAAAAGAGAGUUGAAAUGCAUGUUUGUGAUUUGAAAUGUCAUAGCACUUGAAAUAUCAUUUUAGAGCUAUUGAGAGGGCGUCUUGAUAUAUUAUGUUUUGUGUUAAAGAAGAAUUGCAUGAGAAAGAGAUUUUUGGGCAUGACCACCAUUGUUUGUAAAACUGUUGACAAAGAGUUUUCUUGCAUGUGUAUACAUGAGUUCUUGAAUUGUUUGAUUGAUAUGGUGGUCCCGAACUUAUGUAUUGAAAAAAAGAGAUUCUUGUAUGCUUACAAUGGCUCAGAGAUGUGAAUUGCAAGUCUAUGGUAUGACGAUACCAUAUGUAUUUAUGCCAUGACAGAGUAUGCUUUCAGAGUAUAUUUUCAGAGCAUGUUUUCAGACUUUGCAUGUUUUGAUUGAGUUUUUACAAAAGGGGCUUAAAUAGUGUUAAGUGGUUACCAGAAGAAGGCAUGAGUUCAAGCAACUCUUAGCCUGAAAUCGUAUUUGCCGAUACGGGUAGAUUAUUAUUGUACGCUGGCGACGGUCGUGUGGCGUAGUAGAUUCAGAGACUCCGACCCUUUCGGCACACUUGGGUUGGGGGAUUGGCUGCCAAGUUAAUGGUAGUUUCCAUAUAGCCCAUGGAAUUUUCAGAUUUGUAGGGUAUACCACUUAUCGCAGAAGUAAUACAAAGAGUACCAAAGAUUUCAGAUGUUUUCACAGAGUCUUUUAAAAUGCCCAUGGGAUUCUCACUAUACGAUUUGUUUAUGAACUGUUUUAAACUGCUCCCUUAUAUAUUGAAUAUAAACUGUUAUUUUGGAUUUGCUCUACGUGCCAGUACUUUUGUAUUGACCCCCUCCCCCUCCAACCUCUCAAGUUCUGAGGCUCAGUAUAGGGCCCAGAAAAGCAGUAGAUAAUUUAGAUCGCAGACCAGACCGGUGCAGUGGUGAGCCUUCUAUCUUCCAGAAGGCCUGUUUGAUUUCGAAUAUUUAUCUUUAGUCAUGUUUUGGUCUACUGGGGGCCUUGUCCCAGGAAUUCAGACAGUAUUUUUUUGAGAUUUAGUAGAGAUUUCGCAUACUGAGUCAGAUAUAUUUUUUUAUAUUUUUGAAUUUCAGUGUUAUGAUCACAUUCAUAUUGACCAUGUUUCCGUAUUAGAAUUCUAUUUCCGCGUUAUAUUUUAUUACAUGAAUGUUGUGCAUGAUUAUCAGAUCCAGAUGGACGUCCUGGGCCUUCAUGAUUCGGGAAUGCUCGUCACAGCCAGGGCCUCGGUUCGGGUCGUGUCAAAAAUCUUUCGGCACCUUCAGAAAAAUACUUCGAGAUAAAAAAUUGGAUGCUUAUUUUAGGGACAGCUGCUUUGGGAAAUUAAUAACGCUCAACUUACAUGUCAAUUAAGUGUAAGGCGGUCAUCAUCAAUAUAUUUACCCAACUUUUAGAGUCGGGGUCGAAUCUACAGGGAAUAAUGUGACUGACGAUUAAACUAAUUUGAAAUUAUAGGUCCGAAUUGAAUUUAAACUACUAAUGCAGAAAGAUAAAAAAAGGGAGGUUUUCAAUGAUUUACUAAAAUUUACUAUAUAUUUCAAUUUAUCAAUAUUAUGGGCAACUAGAGUUAUGGGUACCGAGAUGUGCAAAAAGAUAGGGUCGUGAAUCACUUUUAAGGUUCCAAGUUGAUACUUAAGUUGCAAGGAUAUUUGAAUCUUAUUGUUUACCCAUUUGUCUCCCGACCUCAAUAGGUGACUUAUCCUUUAGAUCUCCUGAACUUACAGGACGAAUUAUUUAUUCAACUGUUUCCUCAUGUAGAUAGAUCUGGUCAAGGUAUUUGUCCUUAAACUAAAGGUUAGAAGCUUUAGAGUCCAUGUAAAUCCAUUCAUUUUCCCCUAUCCACGUUCUCCCUAGAAAAGUAAUGUACCAUGUAAGCAAAUCCUCUCGAGUUAUUCGCCCUUAAACUUAAAGGAGUAACAUCUUUAAGAGUCCAUAGGAACUUCUGUGUUCUCAACAUGUACUUUCCUCCCGGAUAAGUGGAUGUACUUGGGCUUACUUUUAGAGUUGCGAACUAGAAGAAUCACUACAUUGCUCGACAAGUACCUUCCUCCGGGACAGAUACUUGCUUCAUUGAAGUAGCCUAAUGACACUUUUCUCCCGGACAUGUGUUGUUUUAGCGUUGACUCUUCCAGUUACAAACUAGAGAAAUCGUUACAUUGCUCGGCAAGCACCUUCUUCUCGGACAAGUGCUUGCUUCAUUGAAGUAACUCAACAACACAUGUGGUGACUUUCCUCUCGACAAAUAAUUGCUUCAUUGAAGGAACUCAACAACACAUGUGGUGUUAUAGUGCUGAUUUCAUCUAGUUUGCAAACACAAAAAGUGAUUAAAAACGAAGAAAGGUUUAUACAACAUCAAGUGUUCAUGGAACUCAAAGUAAAUUCACAACCCAAACUAGUUAAUCACAUCGAAACUCCCAUAACUCAAGUAAAGUAAAUUAGAUACUCAUGAUAUAUAAACCAACAACAUAUAUUGUAUUCAUAAUCAAAAUUAAGUAAUAAAACAUACCCAAAACAAAGCGUUAAUUGAAGGAGUUGAAAAACUUGCCUAAGAAUCCUAAGAGAGAUUUAUGUGUAUUUCUAUAUGUACAUUGUGUCUAUAUUAUCCCUAUUCUGUAUCUAAUGGUGUAGUAUAUGUAUGGUACUCUAUUUUACAUCUAUCCAAGUAUUGGUAGGUGUAUGUAGAUCAAUCUUCUGACCAAGACUUUCAAGCCUCCAAGUGUGAAUCCGCGUUCAGCCGCAACUGGCAAAAUUGACUACUGUGUUUGUUAGAAUACGUAGUCAAAUACUCCUUUUUAUGGUCCACGCGCCUAUAUUAUAGAAAUUUAGACUUAUUAUGAUUCCAUAAAUAUUUUGUAAAAUUCUAUAUCACUGUUCACGCUCUCAAAACAGCCAUGUACAUUUCAGGACUCCAAAUGGAGUCGAUUUCUGUAUUUUGGUCACGUUGAGCCAUUUUGAGCCUUAUUGAGUUGUUUCCACUUGAUUUGAAGCUUGUAUUCACUUCAUAUAUCAUCAUAUUCCAUCAAAAAAUCAUCCUAUAACAUUAAAAACAGCAAUUCAAAGCUCAAAACAACACAACAUCCAACACGAUGAACUCAAAACACAAGCUAAGCAUAGGCUAAUUUUCACUUAUAUCUUUAGCUAAUUGUUUUGACUAUUUUCUUGAUCCAAUGGACCCUUAAACAUUAUAAACAAUUUGUUUCAUUUAUAAAUACAUACUAACAACCUUAGUAAUCUAUUAACACACGUGAGAACCUAACACAAUAGACUAGACAACACCGAGCUCAAGCUAGUCACACUAGUUUUCUCGGUUGAAUUCUAAAUGGUCACAUUGAAUCAAAAAUUAUUUGGAAACACCAUUAAAUGUUGUAAAAACAUAAUUUGACACAAAAAUUCUUAUUUAUAUUAUUAUCAACACAUAUAGCAUAAGAAUCAUCCUCAAAACAAGGCUAAAAAGGUUAGAAUAGUGAUGCUAGAACGCAUAAAUACACCCAACAUCAGAAAUAUCUUAAUUUGCCAGAGGACAACAAUGCUUGUUUCUAAAUGAAAAUGGUAUAUGAACUUCUCAAGAGUAAUUUUAUGUGUGAAAACAAAGAUAAGAUGGAUAAGGUGUGGAUAAAUUACUGUGGCAUGCCCGUUUGUUUUGAUUGGAAGGAGUUUGCCAUAGUUAUUGGACUAAAAUGUUAUCCUCCUUUUCAAGUUAUACCUAUUAUAACGCAAAAAAAGCACCCCGCACACUCAAAAAAGUUAAAGGAGGCAAGCCGUGUGAUCUUGAUAACCUGGUGUCCAUUGUUGGUCGAAGCUUCAAAAAUAAAAAUUUGAUAGAAGCGUUGAAAGGUAAAGAACUUUCAAAGAAGCACAAGCAGUCAUUGUGCUUGGUUUGGUUUUUACAUAAUAUUCUUUGGGCGAGAGACAUUAACAACAAUAUAAGUGUUGGUUUAAUAAAGCACUCCGAGGAUCUUGAGGCAUUUAACAGCUAUCCUUGGGGUUAUGAAAGCUUUAAAAUGACUGUCCAAUAUUUGUUGACUCCAUUGGCACCAAAGACAAUCAACUUAUAUGGCCUUUCAUGGGAUUUCAUGGUAAAUCUUUCAUUUCUUUCUUUUAUUAUGAUACCAUUUAUUUUUUUUACUCAAUGAUGGUUUUGAUUUAUUAUCAUUAUUUUAUAGGCUUGGGUGUUUGAAGUCAUUCCUCAUUUGAGACAACAAGUGAACUACCAGGAAGAAGUUUCCUGUCCAAGAAUCUUGAGAUGGUUGUUGGCCAAAACUGAUAAAAAUGCAAAAUUUCUUGACCUUUUCAACCCCCCGAAGGAUGCAGUAAGUAAAACUAUGAUUAAGUUUUUAUUUUAGUUAAUGAUUUUUUUGAAUGAUCUAAUCAUCAUUCUAAUAUAUGUAAUGAUUUAUGUUAGAUUGUGCAUCCGUUGCUAGUUCCAACCAAUCGAUAGUUGAAGAUGCCAUUUGUUCUUACUUUACAGUCUGUGCGAACUUUAUCGUACUCUAAAUUCAUCGACAGAAUAAAAAUAGAAUUGUUUGGAGCAACAUCCAUUACAAGAAAAACAAUUUUAGAGGGUGGGCUUGUCGUUGUUGUUGGUCUUAGCGGUGAUGGAGAUGUUGGUGGUAGUAGUGGUGCUGCUGUUGGUACUAAUGAUGCUCCUCUUGCGGUAUUUAAACAAACCAUUAUGAGUAUGAUCAUAUUGGUUAUACAGAUUUUGCCUCUCCCAGCAAAUGUUCUGCAUACAAAUGUCAAUACUGCAGGGCAAAACAUAAUAUAGUGAUUAAUGCUAUUAAUGCAUUAAUUGCAUCUGUAAGGAAAUUGACAUCUAUGAGGGGUGUCAUCCAUCAAAGAGGAUUUUAUUUCCAUCCACUCCAUUAGAGAUUAUGGCUAAGAGGAGAAGGAAAGUGAUUUCCAAGGCAUUAUCAAGCAUCCAAAAGAGCAAAAUUGCAACUCAUCUGUCCGUGUGUUGCACUGAGCAAUAUACAAUGUCCAAAAGAGAGGCACGAGCUGAACAAGGUGAAUAUAUAUGUCUUCCAACUGCAAACGGACACAUUUCUAUUUUCGCGGAUGUCACAUCUGCUGAAAAUUAUCAAACAGAUUAUAUCUCUGUUGCAACAGUUGUAUAACUUGUUGCACCAGAUAAAGUACCUGUUACGACAUAUGUCUCAUCUAUUUUAGCAAAUCAAAUAGCUCUUCGUACCACUUCUAUUUGUACCAACAGAUGACCUAUCUUCUGCAAUAGAUAAGUCAUAUAUUGCAACAGAUGGUUCAUCCAUUGAAAAUUAUAAGGUCUUCCUUAUGUAGACAUUUGACCCAAUAAUUGAUUCAUUGUUGCAACAAAAAUAUAAUCUGUUUGGGACAAUUUAAAAUAGGAGGAAGACCUGUUUGAUUUGCUAGAACAGAUGCAUUAUCCUUUUCCAUUCUGGCUUUCCAGGUGGAUGUAGAAGUUACUGAUGAACAACAUUGAUAAUAUUCUAAUGAAAAUACGGAGAACAAAAAGCGCAAAAACCGUACUGAAGCGACAAUAAAGAUCCAUGACGAGCAAAUCCAAAUUUCAUAGCACCGGAUGAACAACUUGUCUAUAUUGAGUAGAUCUUUAUAGCUUAAGUUUGUCAAAGUAAUAACCUCUCACCCCUCCUUAGGAAUCCUUAGCAUCAAUACUUAAAUUAUUGAUGUAUUUGUUGAGAUCUGUACCUAUAAUAAUUUUUUUACAUCUUAUUUAUUCGUUGAUUUUAUUUCAGCUAAUUUCUUAAGACUUCAUUUUAUUUUAUUUUGUCUAUGUAUUUUAUCUUUUCCUUAGAUUUGAACUUAUUAAUCGAAAUGGAAUACUAGAUUCAAAUAUAGCAACUGAUAAUGUAUCUGUUUUAAUUGACCAAAAUCAUAUAUGUUGUAACAGGUAGGUAAUAUUUUGGAAUUUAUCGAACAUGUCUUCCCACUGCUGUAACAGAUAGACUUAGAUAGAACAAUGAAACACCGACAUAAUGCAACAGAUGAUCAACCUAUUGCAAUAGAUAAAUUAUAUGUCAGAACAGGUAGAAUAUCUGUUACAAUGGAUGGAAAAUCUGUUGCAUUAUAAAAAUUCAAAUUUCAUUGGACAUAAAAAAAUUGCCACGUUCAUUUUAAACAUGUAAAAUAAAAUUGGCACAAAUGUGUCAGGUUGACACUUUUUGCUGACUUGGCGACUGAUUUUUCCCCCAAUGGUUAUUUUUUUUUCCAAUGUCUUAUAUAUUCAUCUUCUUUCUAAAAUUUAACCUUAAAUUCCAAUUCUUCUUCUUCGUCGUCAUCUUUUUUAUCUAUCCAAAUAUUCUUCAAAGUAUUUACAUUUGGUCUUUCUUUUCUUCAUCUUUUUUUCAUUUUUUUCCAACUGAGCUUGACAAUGUCGAGCGCAGCUUUCACUAUUUUUUGUGAUAACGGUUUUCGAUAUUGUAAGUGCGGUCAUGAAGAUUUAUUGAAGACUUCUUGGACUCAACAAAAUCCAGAUUGUAGGUUUUUUACUUGUAAGAUUUCAAAGGUAAUAUUUUUUUUAUUUAAUUAGUUGAUUAAUUAUUGACUUGUAAUUGUUUUGUAAUUGUAUUCUCGUUUUUAUAGAAAUUGGGUGGAUGCGAUUACUUUGAUUGGUAUGAAGAACGACACCCUUCACAAGCAAAUCGUGUAAUCUGGAGUUUGUUGAAGAAAUUCAAGGUUUCUGAAUAGAAACAAAAUCGAUCAAGAAGAUACUUCAUUGUUGUCGUUAUUUCUACUGAUUUGGUGGUGUUGGACACAUGGAUUUUCAAGCCUAAUUGCUGAAAUUUUCAUGGUGGUGUAUUUUCUACUGGUUUGGUGUUGUCGAGCACAUGGAUAUUCAAGCGUGUAAUUGCUGCAAAAUAUCAAACAAAUUUAGGCAUAUGUUGUAAAAUUUAGGACAACUGUUGGAAAUUAUCGAACAGAUCUUCCUGCUGUUGCAACAGAUUAGACUUAGAUUAGAUAGAAAUAAAUAACAUCGGUGUAAUGAAAUAGAUGGCCAACCUAUUGUUAUUGAUAAAAUAUCUGCUAGAACAGAUAGAAUACAUUUUACAACAGAUUGACAAUCUAUUGCAUUAUAAAAAACUCAACUUUUAUUCAUUAUGAAUUAAUUAUUGUCACUACAUGUACAUGUAAUUUAAAGUAAAAUAAAGUGUGACUUGAAAUAAAAAUUGUUAUUUCACAGGUGAUUCUAUAUACAUAGACUCCAAGCAUCCAGUUAGUACCUCAUAAGUCCAGACCUCUUGCAGGUUUGCCAUAGUGUUAUCAUACAGAAAGGUUGUUAGCUCAACCAUUUCUGUGUCGGUCAACAAACAUUCGAUGUGUGCAAGGGCGUGUGAGCUGCUCGCUUAACCGACAUAAUUUUUUAAAAGGAUUAUGUUGUUUUGACCUAAAAAAUCCCAUGGUUUCUUCAUCAACACUUCCUUUGGCAAAUAUUCAUCAGUUUACUCUCCCUCAACAAGAAGGGCAACAACUCCAUCAGUGGCUCCACGACGAGAAAAAAAUUGGCAUGGUCGACAAGAGGUUCAUUGUAGUCAUAAACAUUGAUCUUUCCCUCCUCGAGUAGUAUCUCAACAUCCCGAUAAUGUAUGUCAUUCACUCAAAUGAUUGCAAAAAUCCUCUUUGCCUCGGUCCAGCUCUUGCCGUGUAGAUUUGGCCUCUUCCCUAUAACAUAUUUUAUCAUUUCUUCUUCAUCCAAGUCCAACGUAGAAGCUAAUAAAUCAAGUCUCGCGCCAUAUUCUAAUGCAGCUGUAUUGAAUUGAUUGUACUUAUCCUUGAGCUUCUUGCAAAAGUUGAGGUCCAUUAUUUUAUCGGCAGCGUCAUAAGCUUUUGGGUACGUUAAUUGUCUUUUCCUCAUGAGGCAGAGAAUUUUGUCAACAUGCUGUGAUAUAAGAAGACAAUUUUUAAAUAGGUUAGAAAUUAUAAAGAUGGUCCAUCUAUUGCACAGGGUUAUCUGAAUUAAUAAUCCAACGCAACAAAUAAAUAGUAAGUUGUGACAGAACUACUACCAGUUGCACCAGAAUACCCAACUGCUGCUCUAACACAACUUAUGCAACAAAUAGACAGUAAGUUCCAACAGAACCACUGCUAGUUGCACCAGAAUAUCUAGCUAUUGCGACAUAUUCAUAUCUGUUGUGUAGCUUCUUCUUCAUGGGGUAGAUUAGAUUAGAAGGUUGGGUUAGGAAAAGUAAACUUUCCUUGUCCUCGUAAUACACGCGCAUAUCUGUCAUAGUCUGGAAGUCUUGGGGGGGAAAGGGAGGCCUGGGGUAAUCUGUGCACCUGGCUUGGAAUUCUUGGCCUGUUGCAGAUCCCCCUUCUCUUUGGUGCCAAGUUCAGUGUAUAUGUCCACCCUUUGAACUUUAAUAGCUUUUUGAGAGGGAGGAGCUGCAAUUAUUUUUGAUUUCCGAUAGGAGAGUACGUCGGUUAUUUAUCUUUUCUUCCUCCUAACCAAUAAUGUAGGAGUAUAUCGCUCCCUCAACUUCUUGGAUGGUAUGACACCCCUCUUGGAUUUGAAAUCCUCGAUAGCUUUAGAGAUAGCCUCUACUUUCAAAGAAUUUAUCCUGGUUGUCCUUGUACUCUUCACAUUCACAACGAGAACACGAGGGUAGAGAGGGAUGAGAGGGACCCAUGUAAAGGUGAAAAUGGGUGUUUUUAAACAUAUAUAAUAUUUUUAGCAUCAACAUGCUUAUCAUCAUGAGUGGUAGCAUCAUCAUCAUGCCUACCACCAACACCAACGACUCCACCAAAAGAAGCACCAGGAUCUGCCUUAGUAGGUUGGUCAUGAAGAGCCUCAACAUUAGGCAGACCUUGCCUAACUGCUCGUCUUCUUAUGGCUGUUGCUCCAGCCAAUUCCUUCCUUAUUAAAUCUACCGUUGGGUCUGAUAUAGUAUCAAUAUGACCUUGAGUAAUAUAAAAAGUCAUCAUCAACUCCUCCUCAGUAGGCACGAUCCAUGGAUGCAUAACCUAGAAUAAAAAUACAAAUACAAAUACAUUUAAAUCAUAUAAUAUAAUAAUUUUCACAGUUGGGUUAACAUUUUAACAGUCAAAUUCUACAACAGAUUAGCAAUAUGUUGUAUCAGAUUACCCAUCUAUUGUAUAGUUUAUAGUAGAUGGUUAAUCUGUUAGGAGCCGGGUUCACAGAACCAGAUGGGUAAUCUGAUGCAAGAUAUCAAUCGUCUGUCGCAACAAAUUAUCCAUCUAUUGGACCGGUUGGCACAAGAUAGGUAAUUUGUCGCAACAGAUAUUUCAUCUAGUGCAUCAGAUAUAAUAUAUGUUCAAUAUAUUUCCAUGAGUAUUUUACUUGAGAAAUACUUGAAGAAGACGUACUGCAUCAUUCGGAGGGUUAAAGAUAUCAGCCUCCAUAAUUUUGGUGUUGAACUUUAUAGCCAACCACCUAAACAUCCUUGGAUGAUAAACCUCCUCCGGGUAAUCCAUUACCUACUUUCAGAGGAGAGAAAUGACUUCCAAUGCCCAAGCUUGAAAAAUGUAAACAGGAUGCCAGCAAAAAAUCUCAUAAUAAACUAUAUUCAACAUAAAUUAAUGGACAAGUAAAAAUAGAGAUUAAUUUUUUAAUCUUACCUUGAAAUCCCAAGGAAAGGCGUAUAAUGUGUUCGUCUUUGAGGAUAGCUCAUCAGUAAAUAUUGCACAGUCAAAUAGAAAAUGUUAUAUCCCUAGGGAUGAUUAUUGAAUUUAUCAAACCUCAGCACGUGCCAACAAAUCAUCUUCUAUGACCUUGUUGACGUCUCUUACCAAUAUAAUCUAAUGGGCAAACCAAACUAAGAACAGUUGCUCCCUGUACUGCUCUGGUAUGGUUUUAUCCACGAGAUCUGUCAACAAAUCUGAUGCUUUAUAGCCACGUCGAGCAAUGUCAAACAACCCAUCUAUUUUUUACUUGCAUUUUCUUGCCUUGGAUAUUUUGAGGGGUGGUGGUUCUUCUGGACAAUGGCAUCUCAAGCCCGUCACUAUGGCAAUCUCUUGCAAGACAAAGCAAAAUAGUAUGCCACAGUAGUUGAUCCAGAUUUUAUCCAUUUUAUUUUUGCCCCAUCCUCCGGAUCUUUAUCAUCCCCCACAUACUUAAUCCUGGGCUUGAGAAGACCAUAUACCAUCAUCGAAGGGAAACGAAAAUGGGGAGGGGGGUCCUCAGGCAGCUCAAGAGAGCGUCCAAAGUAGCUCUUCUUAAAAUGUCUGUCUAUGUUUUCGUUCUUCAUAAUUUCCCUAAAAUAAUUAAAAUUCCCCAUCUAACAUUUAAGUACAACAUCACUAGUUAGUUUUAGUUCUGCUUCUGGUUCAUUUAUCGGCAUCAAAACUUGAAACCUGCCAAUACUAAAAGUUUUGACAGGAUUAUGCUGGGAUGUCGAUAUAAUCCAUGCCCCAUUGGUGAUCCAUUAUCAUCAUGUUGAUGAUUAUCCUCUUUCUCUUUCUCACUUUCAUUUUCUUCAUCACCAUCUACAGACCCUUGUCCACCUCCCUCAAUAUUGUUUUCAUAUAUCUCCUCAGCUUCACUUUUCCCUGUUUGAGAUUGUUCAAGAAGCUCCUUCAAAUUUCUCUAUACUGUAGCCUUUUUUUCUAGGUGGUCGAGUUGAUCCGGUUUCACUUUUUUUUCUUUUGGGAGACAUGUUUUACCUAAAAACAACAGAAACAAAAAAUUACAUUACAAUUGAUGUACGUAUAAAUUUUAAAAAUAAAUUACAAACACCACCAAUACAGAACACCAACAGCCACCACCACAAACAUCACCAACCAAUGCUACAAACACCAUAAAUACAGACACCACCUACAACCACCACAAACACCACCACCACCACCACCACCUCAAACACCAUCCAAUAAUACCACGACAGUCAACGGAAUAAUGUGACAAAAACUAGGAUUUUCUUGAGUUCUUCCUAUGAUUUUACCAUUAAAACUCAAAAUUGUAAUACAACUAAAAUUUUUAUUUUUCAUCAUUAACUUAAAAGACCUUAUUUUUUAGAAAAAAAUAAUAAAUAUAAAACUCUUCUUGAACCCGGUUACCUGUUACCGAUGAAGACAAAGAAAAAUGACUGAUACAAGCUAAAAUGAAGUCAAAAAUAACACCUAUAUGGUUGCAAAUGAGAAGAAAAGUGAUCUGUUGUGAAGGGUUGAGCAAUUUGUUGAGUAGUUGUUUUCUGUACUGUUGUUGAGUGAGGAUGAGAGAGAAAAGAGCGAGAACUAGAUUUGAAAUGAUGAGACAUUUUGUCUGGGUUGAUUUGUAGUUUGAAAAAGAAUGACAAGUUUUGAAAAUGUUAAUUUGGUUCGAAUUGAUCUUAAUUUUUUUUAAAAGUUACAAAAGAUAUACGUAAUUUUUAACCCUCUCAUCAUGCAAUUGCCGAAAGGGUAUUAUUAGUCUAACAUAUAAACUCAAUUGAAAUUGUAUAAAAACAAUUGAAGUUGUAGUUGACCCUAUGAACUCACCGCUGGUUCUAGAUUAAUCAAUUUAGGUAUUAUUAGUCUAGAUUAGGUAAUAGCAAAUUAAGAAUCUAUUGUAAAUUAUCAAAUAGGCGUGUCCUCUAUUAUAGUUAACCCUACGAGAACUCACCCCCAAUCCUAGAUUAUUCACUUAAGGUAUUAGUCUAGCAUAUGGGGUAGCAAGAAUUGGUUUGGCUUAGAGUGAUCGAUUGAUGACUCUGGUCGGGAGGAACGCAAUACUGUCUCAUCAUGCAAUUGACAAAAGACUUAAUUGAAGUUGUAGUUGACCCUAUGAGAACUCACCCCCAGUCCUAUAUAAUUCAAUUAAGGUAUUAGUCUAGCAUAUGGACUCAAUUGAAGUUAUAUAAAAACAAAUGUUCAAUCUUUUGCAAUAGAUGUCAUUUUUGUUGGAUUAAAUCAAACAGAUUAGGAAAUCUAUUACAACAGAUCACGAAUCUAUUGUAAAUUAUCAAACAGAUUAAGUCAUCUGUUGUGACAGAUUAAGAAUCUGUUGUAAAUUAUCAAAUAGGCAUUGUCAUAUAUUGUAGUUGACCCUAUAAGAACUCACCCCCAAUCCUAGAUUAUUCAAUUAAGGUAUUAGUCUAGCAUAUGGGGUAGUAAAAAUCAAUUUGUCUUAAAGUAAUCGAUCAAUAACUCUGGUCGAGAGGAACGCAAUACCGUCUUAUCAUGCAAUUGCCAAAUACUCAAUUGAAGUUAUAGUUGACCCUAUGAGAACUCACCCCUAGUCCUAGAUUAUUCAAUUAAGGUAUUAGUCUAGCAUAUAGAGUAGUAAGAAUCGGUUUGGCUCAGAGUGAUCGAUCGAUUACUAUGGUCGGGAGGAACGCAAUACCGUCUCAUCAUGCAAUUGCUAAAAGACUCAAUUGAAGUUGUAGUUCACCCUAUGAGAACUCACCCUCAGUCCUAGAUUAUUCAAUUAAGGUAUUAGUCUAGCAUAUGGACUAAAUUGAAGUUAUAUAUAAAUAAAUGUUCAACCUGUUGCAACAGAUGUCAUUUCUGUUAGAUUAAAUCAAACAGAUUAGGUACUCUAUUGCAACAGAUCAUGAAUUUGUUGUAAAUUAUCAAACAUAUUAAGUCAUUUAUUGCGACAGAUUAAGAAUCUAUUGUAAAUUAUCAAAUAGGCAUUGUCAUCUAUUGUAGUUGACCCUAUGAGAACUCAGCCCUAUUCCUAAAUUAUUCAAUUAAGGUAUUAGUCUAGCAUAUGGGGUAGUAAGAAUUGGUUUGGCUCAGAGUGAUCGAUCGACGACUCUGGUCUGGAGGAACGCAAUACCGUCUCAUCAUGCAUUUGCCAAAAAAUUCAAUUGAAGUUGUAGUUGACCCUAUGAGAACUCAGCCCUAUUCCUAAAUUAUUCAAUUAAGGUAUUAGUCUAGCAUAUGGGGUAGUAAGAAUCGGUUCAGCUUAGAGUGAUCGAUCGACAACUCUGGUCGGGAGGAACGCAAUACCUUCUCAGUAUACAAUUACCAAAAGUAUCAAUUGAAGUUGUAGUUGACCCUAUGAGAACUCACCCCCAGUUGUAGAUUAUUCAAUUAAUGUAUUAGUCUAUCAUAUGGGGUAGUAAGAAUCAGUUCAGCUCAAACUGAUCGAUUGACGACUAUGGUCGGGAGGAACGCAAUACCAUCUUAUCAUACAAUUGCCAAAAGACUCAAUUAAAGUUGUAGUUGACCCAAUGAAAACUGACCCCUAGUCCUAGAUUAUUCAAUUAAGGUAUUAGUUUAGCACAUGGACUCAAUUAAAGUUAGGCAUCUCUCAAAACCGAUACGUGCGAGAAAUUCUACUACCUUGGGAUUCACAUCCGCUAUUUGAUUGAAAUGGUCUAAAAACUCCUCUCUACUAUUUUCUUUAGCUACUCUAUAAAAAAGGGUGACGACCCAUUCGUUGUGAUAGUUGUCACGAAUAUUCUCUACAAGAUGCCUUAUACAACAACCAAAGUAAGCUGAAGUGAAGAAAAGUGAACCCAUCUUUGGAAUACUUGGAUGCCUAUCCGAUGCAAAAUAUAAAUCUUCGAUAUCUUCAACGCAGCUUCACAGUUGUUCAAAAAUAAUCCAUAAGAGGCAUCACAUUCCUUGUCGACUACACAAAAAGCGUCAGGAAAGAUAUGAUUCUCCGCAUCAUGCACCACCGCCGUUAGCAAAACUCCAUUAUACCUGCUCUCUAAGAAGGUAACGUCGAUGGCUAUUCCUUUUCUCAAAUGUCGAAAACCUUAAAUCCAAGCAACAUAGGAUACAAAAAAUUACUUGAACCUUCCGUUUUCAUCUAGAUGCAAUGUCGUCUUACUUUCAGGAUUUGUGGACUCAAUCAUGUAACAGUAGGCAUCCAGGACUGCAUACCCAUGAUCGAGUGUCCCCCUAACCAGGUCCUUGGCAAUCCCCAUGGCUGUAUAUAUCUUCUAAUAACUGACCAAGACACCCAAAUCCAUAAGGAUUUAAUUGUCUAUAACCUUUGUUGAAGGGCCUUUGCCAUCAGGGAAACUACUCUUGAGUGUGAGUAUUUUGGCCUGAGAUAUUCUAUGAACCACAUGUGUGAUGCUUUCCAUGUUUAUGAAUGACAAAUCAAUUAGAACUUGUGUACUUCACCGUUCUCAACCACCACUUGCAGUUUGAAUUAGCAUAUUUAAAGCAAAAGACACCAUUCGAAUUAAUCACCUUCUUUAUUCUAAAAUAUUUUUUCAAACAAGAAAUAAACAGAGUGUUAGAUAGUUCAUUCUUGUCCUUAAAUGACAUUCCAAUAAAAAAUCCGAUCCCAUUAUCUUGAAAAUUUCCAGACUAUGUCGAUUGAAAAGAACUGCACAUUGUAUUAGUUGCAUCAACGAACGUAGGUGUUUGAUCGUCAUCUGGAAUAUUCGUGUCUAAAUCAUCCAACCUAUCAUCAAAGAAGUCUUUUUGUUCUUAUUCUUCUACGUUUUGAUUCUCAUUCUCUCUUGUUUUUUCAACCAUGUACACCCUUAACACCGACCUGGUUGAAUCACUUAGAUAAGAACGCAACUGAACCUGAUCAGUUAUCUUGAAAAGCAGUAUCCUCUGUGUAAUACCCCUGAAAAUUUUUCAUUGAAAUUUUGUGCGUAAACGUGUUGGGUUCUAUCUUCUAGAAUGAAUUAUAAAUUUUUCGUGUAGAAUGUCUUAGAAUAUGACCCACCAUUAUGUAGAGUAUCAAAUAAGCUUUCCAAUGAUAUGUGGAUCAUCCAAAACGGACACCCGAACGAUGAGUUAUGAACAUUCUGAUCGAACUGUGAAUAGUAGUGAACAGUAAAACAUGCAGGAAAAAGUAUUAAGGUCUGGCGUAUUUUUUCUCAAAUUUUAAAUGAUCAUAAAUUCUUGUACAUAAUGAUCUGGGUGAUCUCCUAUAUAUCAACAGAAAGAUCUGUGAGUCCUCUUUCCAAUGAAAUUGGUUUCAUCUAAUUUGUCUAUUGGAGAAAAAGUUAUGGUCAAUCUACUUCAGCCUAUCAAAAGUGAAUUUUUGGGUCAACUUCAAAUGAUCAUAACUCCUCGUACAUAAUAAUCAGGGUGAGAUACUAUAUAUGAAUGGAAAUAUAUGAGAGUCUUCUUUCUAAUGAAAUUGGUUUCGUCCAAUUUGAAUAUCGGAGUAAAACGUUAUGGUUGAUCUACUUCAGACUAUCAAAACAGUCCACCAAAGGACAAAUUCAAGAAUUAUUUGAUUUUUAGGGGCGUUUUGGUCAUUCCCCCUCACCCAAAAUCCGUCCAAACCCUAUAUUAAAGCCUAUUAGAAGCAUUAUAUGUUAUAUUUCAUCAAAUUCCCUCAAAAAGAAAACCCUAAGCUCCUACAUCCAACUUCAAGAACCUCCAAAGUUCACCAUUAAUUCUGCAAAUUUAUUCAAGAUUCCAAGUUCCUAGUUCAAGAACUCUAAGAAUCAUCAUUCAAAGACACGAUUAACAUCUCAAAAACGAGUAUCGAUCUAAAUUUUAUCUAAAGUUUAUCAUUUAAGGUACGUAGGGUUUUUCAAUAAGAACUCUCUUUCGUUCUUGUGCCCAAAAGUAAUUUUCUUUACAAAGGCAUGAUUUUUAUUUGAUUUUUAUGAAUUUUAAGCAUGAACCCAUAUCUUAUGAUGAUUAUCAUGAAAUCUAUAUGUUUAUGAUUUUGAAAGAUGAAUUUACAUGUGUGGAUAUAUAAAGCAUGAAUCUUGAACGAUAUUUAUCAUGAUUUUGAUAUUUGGGUCGUGAAUCCUCAUUAGAAAUUGUGUUUUUUUGAGAAAGUGUGUGUUAUAAGCACGUUGAUGUUGAAUAUUUAAGAUAUUUUGAAUNNNNNNNNNNNNNNNNNNNNNNNNNNNNNNNNNNNNNNNNNNNNNNNNNNNNNNNNNNNNNNNNNNNNNNNNNNNNNNNNNNNNNNNNNNNNNNNNNNNNNNNNNNNNNNNNNNNNNNNNNNNNNNNNNNNNNNNNNNNNNNNNNNNNNNNNNNNNNNNNNNNNNNNNNNNNNNNNNNNNNNNNNNNNNNNNNNNNNNNNNNNNNNNNNNNNNNNNNNNNNNNNNNNNNNNNNNNNNNNNNNNNNNNNNNNNNNNNNNNNNNNNNNNNNNNNNNNNNNNNNNNNNNNNNNNNNNNNNNNNNNNNNNNNNNNNNNNNNNNNNNNNNNNNNNNNNNNNNNNNNNNNNNNNNNNNNNNNNNNNNNNNNNNNNNNNNNNNNNNNNNNNNNNNNNNNNNNNNNNNNNNNNNNNNNNNNNNNNNNNNNNNNNNNNNNNNNNNNNNNNNNNNNNNNNNNNNNNNNNNNNNNNNNNNNNNNNNNNNNNNNNNNNNNNNNNNNNNNNNNNNNNNNNNNNNNNNNNNNNNNNNNNNNNNNNNNNNNNNNNNNNNNNNNNNNNNNNNNNNNNNNNNNNNNNNNNNNNNNNNNNNNNNNNNNNNNNNNNNNNNNNNNNNNNNNNNNNNNNNNNNNNNNNNNNNNNNNNNNNNNNNNNNNNNNNNNNNNNNNNNNNNNNNNNNNNNNNNNNNNNNNNNNNNNNNNNNNNNNNNNNNNNNNNNNNNNNNNNNNNNNNNNNNNNNNNNNNNNNNNNNNNNNNNNNNNNNNNNNNNNNNNNNNNNNNNNNNNNNNNNNNNNNNNNNNNNNNNNNNNNNNNNNNNNNNNNNNNNNNNNNNNNNNNNNNNNNNNNNNNNNNNNNNNNNNNNNNNNNNNNNNNNNNNNNNNNNNNNNNNNNNNNNNNNNNNNNNNAACUAGUAUAGAUGUUGGGAGUUGACUAAUAAGUCAUAUUUCGUUAUCUUUCUGAAAUUCUUUUAUUCUUGGAUGAUGAUUACUCUGUCGAUAUUUGAGAGUUAUUUAUGGAAACCCCGUUGAUUUGUGUUGAACUGAAUGAAAAUGGCUCAAAGGGUUAGCUUGGGGCUACUCGUAGCCUCAAGCACCGUGUGACGCUCCGGGACCCAUUUUCUUGGGCGUUACACUUUGAUUCUAAUAGGAGUUGUGCAUGUAGCUGAUGGCGAGUUCUUUCGAUUGACAAUUCAGUCCACAAAAGAUGAUGAUUAAUUUCACAAAAUCAUCAUAUGAAACAUCACUUUGGACUGUCAUAGCUAUCGUCUUUAGCAUUUCUCUCUCCUUUCAAUGCCAUACAUAUCGAUUGUUCUUCUCGAUCCACUGGCCAUGACAAUCCACCCCUAUUAUUAUUGAUCCCUCCAUUAGUGGUACCUAAAUAAAGUCAUUUGUUAAAAAAAAGUUGAUAGUGAUUUUAUAAUUCUAUUGAAACAGGUAAGUAAUCAGUCGCAUCAGAUUACUUACCUAUUAGGAUUCAUGUUACGCUUCUGAAUAUCUGUUGCAAUAGAUGAAGCGCCUUUUGGGAUUGAUGUUACAGUACUAAAUCACCUUUGAAGAUGAUUCCAAUAGAUAACUAACAUGUUGAUAAUUAACCUAUUGCGACAAAUGACUCACCUUUUGCAACAGGUUAGCAAUCUGUUGUACCAGAUAUUUACCCAGUUGCAACAGAUAACACUUCUGUUGGAAUCAUGUUCAGCAUCUGUUGCAAUAGGUUACUAAUCUGUUGAAAUAGAUAUUUAUCAUUUCGCACCAGAUAACUAAUCUGUUGCAACAGAUGAUUCAUAAGUUGCAACAGAUGACCCAUCUGUUUAAACAUAAAUCCAACAUAUCAGUUUUUCGUUGAAAUAGAUGUCUUAUCUAUAGCAACAUAUGAUUUAUCUGUUUAAACAGAUGGAUCUUAUGUUGGAUUCAUGAUCAAGUUCUAUCCAUUAUUGGAAAAACACCACAAUGGCAGUUACCUAGAUAAAAAAUUCAACUAAAAAUCAUAAUUUGACUUACCAGGGUCUCCUAUGAAGUAAUGCCAAAGUGGAAAGUGAUGUUUGAAACAAAAUUUGACCUAAGAAAUUGGUUAAAUAGCAAUAAUAGCGGUAACAACAGAAACAACAACAACAACAAAUGGUCAACAAGAAGAAGAUGAAGAUAAUAAUGAAGUAAAAGAUACUGAUAAUGAAGCAGAAGAUGAUGAAUAAAGCAGCAGCAACAAUGAACAACAAAAAUUGCUAAGAGAAAGAAAGCAAUAAUGGACGAAAAGAGAGAGAAAGGUGCCUUUUUUCCCUCUGUUUCCCGUUAUAUAGGUAAAUAUUUGGAUCAAAGUGUAAAAUUAAAAACUUGUGGGUUAUUUCCAAACUUUUUCAAAUUUCUUAAUCCAUAAUAAAGUAAUUGUCACCCCCACUCAAUAAUUAAGACUUGUGUCACCUACACUUUAUUUUUUAAAAAAAAUUAUCACCUACAGCUAAAAGCCCCAUCUAUCUAUCUCUCUGUAUUGGAUGUUGUCACCAAUCACCCUCUAACCACUGAUAAAAGAUAGAUCUGGAGCUUUAAUUCUUAAGUUGUCACUCUCCUGGACUUUCUCCUAAUUGAAACCACCUAGGCCUGCAUUUCUCACUUCCUUUUUGAGUUCACAAAAGGGUGUGUUCCUUUUAACAUGGCACAUCAAAUUAUAUACUUAUAUUUUUUAAUCUUGUCUGUUUAUUAGAUUAUCUGAUUUUGCUUCCAUGGUUUAUUUGCUAAGAUAUAUCUUUUGAUUUUUAUUCUUACCAAGGGUUGAAGUGAGACAACAAAAAGAAGAAGAAGAAGAUCAGUAUCUGCAUACCAAUGAAAGAUUACGUUAUGAGCAAUCAGAGCAAUCACAUUUAAGAGAGAUAUAAGAACGGUGCUGCGAAGAUUUUCAAUCAUAAGUUUUCAAAAACAGCAACAUCUAAGAUGGUACCUACCUUAACUGGAGUUGGACAAGAUUCCUAAGUCCAAUAACUAAUAUCUGAGUUCUUUAUGGCUGGUAUAGUGUAGACUCAACAUCACAGAAUACUAUAAUAAUUAUUCAGCGAUCAAAGUUUGUAGCAAUUCACUCUGUAUUUAUGAUGAUUCACCCAUAAAGUUAUAGUUUUUGAUCAUGUCUAAAUUUUACUCUCCUAUAAAAGGGAGUUCGAAAAUGGGUCGACAUGUUUGCUUGUGUUGUCAGUUUCAGCUGCUUCAAUUGUGUUAAUUAUUAUGUCAUUUAUGUAUUAAAAAAUUAUUAAUAUUUAAUACAAACAAGUAAAAUAAAUAUUUUUGACAUGUCUAAUUUAGUUGCAUCAAUCGUAAUUUUAUUGUAUCACCUCUAAUUAAUUAUUAUAAGUUAUUUAGAUAUUAAAAAAUUAAUAAUAUUUAAUAAAAAAGGUAAGAUAGACAUGAAAUGAUAAAUUAACUUAGGAGUUGUUUGGGUGGUAAACAAGUUAUGAUGAUAUUAGUUGUGUUGGGAUUAGUUUUACUGGGAUUAGUUGUGCUGAGAUUAGUAAUUCUGGUAUUACUUUUUAGUGGCGGAUUAGUUUGUGGUACUAAAAAUAAUAUGCAUUGCAUUCUUUUUAAGAAUAUCUAGUUUAUUUUUAAAAAAAAAUACCCUCUCCAUAUUUAUCUUAAUUAUUUUCCUUCAUAUUAAAUCAUACAAAAGAAAUUAAAAUGUUACUAAUUUUUUUCAAUUUUAUUAGUUUCUUUAGAAAUAUAUGUUAAGAAAUUUAUGUUAAUAUUUCUUAAAUGUGUAUGAAACUUUUAAUAUUUCAAUUUAAAUUACUUAUUUUGUUCUAAAUUCUAUAAAAUGUUGAUAAUCUCACAUUUUGUUAAAAAAAUUCAUCAUUAAAAAAUGAGAAAAUGAAUUAUUCUCAUUUUUCAUUAUUUAGUAUCAUUAAUAUUUGGAAAGUCAAAUUAUAUUUUUUUAAAGAAUUAAAUUUUCAAAUAUUUUUUAGCUAAAUAUAAAAAAUAAUUUUUUAUUUAAUAAUUAAGCAUGUAUUAAGUUAGAAAGAGAAUGUCAACAUAUUUUAAUUACUUGUCCAUGAUAAAUUUGUUAGGAAAAAUAAAAAUUUGAAAUACGAUUAAUAAACAUAUCUACAAAAUAGAAAAACAAUAAACCUUUGGAUCAAUUUUGGAUUUGAUUAUAUAAAGAAUUUUUAUGAUGUCACUAUUAUUCUUUCUUGACUCAUCACUUUUGUAGCAUUUAAUAAGCUCAUAUAAUUGUUCAAAUUUAUCUUGUCUGUGGCAGUGGAUCUGAGUGCCUCGAUAGGAAGGAAAAUAACUCCAGAGCUCAUUGCCGAUUUGGAGCAACAAAUUGCCAAGCUAAGGCUUAUGGGGAUGCAAAGUAGCGAACCUUCUCAGACUCCUCUAAACAUAACUCUGCCUCCUGAUGCUCGACAAAGGGGACCUAUGCUUCCAACGUCAGAAGGAGUUGAUCAGGAAGGUCAUUUUGCUCAUGUUUCAAAGACUGCCCCUUCUGGCUACACAUUUUUUUCAUCCAAAGGUUCAUAACAUAUCAUUGCCACUAGUAUACAUUUAUAUUGUCACCCCACCGGUAACACAAACUCUAGGAUUAUACCGCUUAGAUAUUAAUCAUUAUGUUGAAACAGAGAAUGAUCCAAGAACGUAUGCUGAUGAGACGGUGAACAGAAAGUCAAGGUCUUGAAAGAUGCAAUGAGAAGCCUUCGUAGGCUCGGGAAUAGUCAAAGUGUCAAGUAUAAAGAAUUGUGUGCAUUUUCGGAGAUCGAGUUUCCUCCUGGUUAUAAGAUCCCAAAGUUUGAAAAGUUUGAUGCGUCCGAAAAUCCUUUCUUUUACUUGAAAACUUAUUGUGAAAAGUUGAUUAGUGUGGGCAAGAAUGAUGGAAUACGGGUCAAUCUCUUUAGCCAAAGCUUAAGUGGAAAGGCUCUAGAAUGGUAUGCCAAGCAAGAUGUGACUAAGUGGCGCACUUGGUGAUGACUUGACAAACGUUUUUGUGGAUCACUACAAGUUUUAUGUCGAUAUCAUUCCUGAUAGGAUCUCUAUCACAAAGCUAAGAUAGAGAUCAAAUAAGAGUUCUCAUGAAUAAGCCAUACGCUGGAGGAAAGAAGCAACUAGGAUACAUCCCCCUAUGGAAGAAGCUGAAAUGAUCAGUUACUUCAUCCAUGUGCUAAAUCUAGAAUAUUUUGAUCGCAUGGUAACGAUGGCUGUAAAAACAUUUAUUGAAAUUGUCAAAAUUGGAGAAAUGAUUGAGGAUGGCCUCAAUACAGGAAGGAUAAUAAAUUUGACAGAACUUCAAUCCACUCAUAAGGUCUUCUGGACUGGCUCAUUUGGAAAUGAAAAGAAAAAAUAGAAGAAAGUAAUGGGAAUGAUGACUCAAGAGAAAUCUUCCAACUACAAGCAACCUUCUCGAUACCAACCCAAUGCUCGAUGUGCUCAUUAUCCAGUCUUCACUGCACAGCCGACAUAUCAUGCUCAACCUCCAACACAAAACUAUCAAAAUAAUGCUUCUCGUGCUAAUCAUGGAAGGAAGCCUCCUAGAAUUUUCACGUCAUUUGUAGAAUCUCUCACCCAUCUUUUUGAAAGAUUGAAAGAAGCAAAACUACUUCAUCCAGUAGAAGCAAAGCUUGUGAAGACUUUUGCUAAUCGGUAUGAUCUAAACAAGCGAUGUGCUUACCACUCUGGAGCUGUGGGGCAUGAUACCGAGAAAUGUAUCACUCUCAAGCAUAAAAUUCAGGAUUUGAAUAACAAUAAGGUGAUAACGCUUGAAGAAGCUUCAGCUAAUGUUAACAAUAAUCCAUUGCCCAUUCAGAAGAAGUAGUCAUUGACACCAUCAAGAAAAAGACGUACUUUUGGAGUCCUUCUAUCCUGCAUUUGAAAGUUAUUAUUCUCUUUUUUGGUAAUCGUACUUUCUCAUUACAUUUCUCUGUAAUUACAUUCUGUUGCUUUUUUUUUUGUAAUCACACUUUAUGAUUUGAUUUCCUUGUAAUCGCACCCUUUUAGCCAAGGAACUAUGUUCGACCCGAUUUACCUUGUGGAAUACGUAGGAAGCAUGUAUUGGCUUUGGUCACAUUAUCAAAAAAAUAUCAAAUAUCCAUUAUAUGGAUGAACUACAUUUGACCUGAAUUCCCAAGAAUGGGAUACGUAGGCGGCCUGUGUCGGCUUCGGUCAAUCCCAUAGAAGAUUUAUCUUCUCAUUUUAUGUUGGAACUACCUUUCCUACCUUAAUGGAGUGCGUAGACGCUACACUGGCUCAGUCAUAUUUCUGUAAAGGUUUCAUAGAAACUAUGUCAAAUUUUUUAGAAGAUCUUAAAAAAAUCAUCAGAAGGAUCCUUCCCCAAGUUGAGUGAAGAUGAAAUUAAAGCAUGUAACUAGGGCAAAUUUUUUUGAGGAGAUCUAAAAAAUUUCACAAAAAAUUGACUUUGGCUACAAAGCUGAAAAUCAGACGUUGUUAUGAUUGGGGCAUAACUUUUGAAGUUCUCCAUGCUUAAAGUACUCUACAUCAGAAACAACUCAAGUACUUUGUAUUUUGGAUUGGGGCAGAAUUUUUGAGAAGAUCUAAAAAAUUUCAUACUCAUAAAUGUCACAAGUUAUAUGAAAUUUCGGGAGUUUCAUGUUAUACACCAGGGCAGAUUUUUUGAGAAAGAUCCUAAAAAAUUCCACAAAAUUCAUACUUCAAGAUCAGAAAAAUUUGUAAAUCAAUGAUUGACAAGGUGCAUCAGGAGAGCAAGACAAUACCAACACAAUCAGUCUCUCAAAACUAAGAAUUUUUUUGGAUGAAGAAACAAUGAAGUGACAAAGUUGACAACGUUAAGCAUGUCACCGGGCAUUAUAGAUCCACUAUGGUCUUGCUAUAAUAAUUCAAACAACUUCUCUCCUUCGUUUUCCUCUUGAUUUAUGUGUCAAUUACUUUUUCAUGAUAUCUAACACUUUCUCUAAUUUUAUAGGAAAAUGAUUGAACAUAAUGAUGAAGAUGUGGAUAUAUUAUCUAGACUACUAUCUCUAAAUUAUCAUGAGUCAAACAACUUCUUUUGUUUUUAAAUUUUUUAUUUUGUUACACUUCUGACUUAGUUAUAAAAAUUGUUGUGUUAUUAAUGAGUGUUGUUUAAGUUAUACAGGUGACGUUAUGCAGGAUCACCUCCAAAAAAUAAUGCAAAGUAUCUUCUCAAAUUUGAGGAUCCAAUCCAGAAUCUCAAGAUAUGCGCAAGUCCUUUAAAGGACUCCUGAUUCAAAGAAUGAAGUUUAAUAAAUCAACUUCUAUAUUUUCUUAUCUUAUUUGGGUCGUCUACCUUUUCAAAAGGACAUAUAUUAUUAUAAAUUUUGAUUUUUCAUCUCUUAAGAGGAAGCAUUGGGCUAUCACUUUAUUUGAGACAUCUUAUUACGUUAUGGACCGUCACCUCCUCCAAAGUGAUAUAUUAUUAUGUUAUGGAUCGUCACCUUCUUCAGAGUGACAUUUUAUUAUUAUGGACCGUCAUCUCCUUCAGAGUGACAUUUUAUCAUAUUAUGUAUCAUCACCUCUUUCAGAGUGACAUAUUAUUAUGUUAUGGACUGUCACCUCCUUCAGAGUGUCAUAUUAUUAUAUUAUAGACAUCCAUUUCCUUCAGAGUGACGUAUGAUUAUGUUAUGGACCGUCACCUCCUUCAGAGUGACAUCUUAUUACAUUAUGGACCAUCACCUCUUUCGACAUCAUAUGUUAUAAAGGUAUACAUGAUUACCCUUAUAUUGCAUUUGCUACUAAUAAGUUUAGUAUAGGUGAUUAUGAGAUACGUUGGACCGUCACUCCAUUCAAAAUGGCAUGUCAUAUUCAAAAUGGGUCAUCCGCUCUUCAAUGAGACAGGUUGGACCGUCACUCCAUUCAAAGUGACAUGUUAUAUUCAAAGUGGGUCAUCCGUCUUUCAAUGAGAUACGUUGGACCGUCACUCUAUUCAAAGUGGCAUAUUAUAUGAUAAAUGGGUCAUCCGCCCUUCAAUGAGACAUGUAAGAAUGUCACUCCAUUCAAAGUGGCAUAUUAUAUUCAAAAUGGGUCUCCGUCAUUGAAUGAGACACACUAGACCGUCACUCCAUUCAAAGUGGCAUGCUAUAUUCAAAAUGGGUCGUCCUCCCUUCAAUGAGACACGUUGGACCGUCAAUCCGUUUAAAGUGGUAUGUUAUAUUCAAAGUAGGUCGUCCGCCUUUCAAUGAGACAUGUUGGACGUCACUCCAUUCAAAAUAACAUGUUAUAUUAUAAAUGGGUCGUCCGCCCUUCAAUAAGACAUGUUGGAUCAUCACUUCAUUCAAAGUGACAUGACUAUAUUCAAGAUAAGUUAUUUGUUUUUUACCGAUGCAUGUUGGGUUAUCACCCCGUUCAAAGUGAAAUAAUAUUUUCAGAAUAGGUUCGACUAUCUCGGCAUAGCAUGGUCGAACAGAUUUGCGCCAGUUUAUAUUUAUGUAAUUCUACAUUUAUAACUAACCAUUUUUUUGAGUUGUUGUCGAGAGCAUCCAAAAGGAUGAAAUUCUCAAAUGAAAACCACAAGUGUGUACAACUCCAAAAAGAAUGCAGAACAACGUGAAACUUUUCUUAGCAACAAACUGGGACAUAGUCUAAAGAGGGAUUCAAACUCUUUGGACGCGAGCCAAAGGAUGAUUUUCACCACCAUCAAACCACACCCCUAUUAGAAGGCAUGCGGGUAGUUCAGGAUAUUUGUAGUUUCAGUUUCACCUCUGGGGCAAAUUCUAAACCGCACCAGAGAUAGUCUUCUUCUUCUUUGAAAAUCAAGUGACAACACACCUAGAGCUUUUGAAAUUAUGUCUAUGUAACUCUUAGUUACGGGUGUAAGGGGCCCCACAUUCAUGAUUGAGAUAAAUGCAAGCCUCUUUUCCAUAACUCGAUAUAUUUGUCACUCAUUCCUAAGCCAAAGAUUAUCUAACAUAAAAGACUAUCUUUUAUACCUAUUGAGUCGAACUACAAGUAGUUUGAUUCCUUGAGUCUCGGGGAUAUGUAGGCUGAGCUCUAUGUUGAAAACUCAAUUGCAUUCCAAUCUUUUCCCAAUCCUCUAAUUCCACAGCUUUUUGAUUUCACCAAAAUUUAAAACUCAGAAUAGCCUGUGAAUUCUUUGAAAAUCGUGCUUUAGAAAUCAAGCUUUAUGAACUACAAAUAGCCUGAAUUCUCAUACAACCUGAGUUAUGUAGAAAACCAAAUACCAAGGUCCGAACAUGUAUUGGGCUAUUGUCGGAGCAUGGGAAGUCCAAUGGACUUGUACAAAAUACUAAUGGAUUCAGAAGAGUCCCAAUUUUUCUGACCAUAGGCGCAUGUAUCUUCUAAAUGGGUCUUGGACUACGUAUUUUAAUCAAAUCAGUAGUCAACUUUGGAGGGGCGACUGAAACGCGUAGUCAAGCGUAGAGGUUGGAAAGUAUUUGUCAAAUUUGGUGGAUACACGGGAAUAUUGAGCAAUAUAUAUAUAUAUAUACCUAUGCCUAGACAUAAUAUACCUAUGCCUGGACAUAAUGAAAAAUAUACAAGAAAUACAAAUAUACAUAAAUCUCUCUUUUAGGCUUCUUAACAUUCUUAUAAACAUCUUCCAUUUGAAGAUUGAUUAUGGGUAUGAUUUAUUACUUAUUCUUGAUUAUGAAUUCAAUACAUAUUGUUGAUUUUUGUAUCAUGAGUAGCUAGUUUUCUUUACUUGAGUUAUAGAAACCUUGAUGUGAAUACUACUUUGGGUUGUGAAUCUAAUUUAUGUCUAUGAGAAAUUGGUGUUGUAUAAACCUUUUUUAACUUUAAUGACCUUUCUUGGCUGCAACUUAGAAGAGCCAGCACUAGAACAUCACUUGUCCGAUAGGAAAGUGUUUGUUAGGUUACUUCAAUGAAACAUCACUUGUCCGAGAGGAAAGUGCCUGUUGAGUAAUGUAACAAUCUCUCUUAGUCGCAAACUUGAAAGGUGAGCCCAAGAACAUUACUUGUCAGAGAGGAAAGUGUAUGUUGGAAAAGAAAGAGUUUACAUGGACUUGAAAGACUUUAAAUCUUGAGAUUAAUGGCAAAUUCCUUAGCCGGAUUAGCCUACAUGAGAAAAUAGUUGAAUAACAAAUACAUUCUUUAAGUUCAAGAGAAUUAAAGGAUGAACUACCCACUUAGGUUGAGAAACGAAUGGGUAAAUAAUAGGAUUCAAUUACUCUUGCAAUUGAAGUUGUCAAUUGGAACUCUAAAGUGGUUCACAACCCUAGUUGUUCAAGCAUCUUGGUAACCAUAACUCUAGUUUCCCAUAACAUUGUUCAAUUGAAGUGUUUAUUAACUUUUAUUCAACCAUUAAGACCCCCCAUUUUACCUUUUCAUAUCAUUUGUUUAAAUUCAACUUGUAGCUAUAGUUUCAAAGUAGUUUAAUUGCCACUAACAUUGUUCCUUGUGGAUUCGACCUCGACUUUAAAGUUGGGUAAUUAUAUUGACGACGACCGCCUUGCACUAAAUUGACGUUUAAGUUGAGCGUUAUCAGUUACUUGCAUACACCCUAACCAAAGGGAGGGGCAGUUGUUGACACCUAAUUUUUGUCCUCCACAUUUUAAAUUAGUUUUUGAAUUUCUCAAUUUUAAAUAGUUUUAAAAUAUUUAUUUUGAAAUAAAUUUUAAACCUUACCCUUUGAAUUUAGGUAAAAUUACUUACUCCAUAUAAAUUGAUUCUAGAGUUGGUAGUAAAUAUGUAUGAAUAACAAAUUUUUUCGCGUUGCUUUCUUGACUUGUUAUAUUAGUACUAUUUGAAUAAAUUCUAAUCUUUAUAUUUUUUUUUUGGAUGCAUGCGACACCCGCUUGAGUCCAACUGGACUCCAUCGCCCUUGCAUUUCCUCAAGACCAAAGUCCCAAAAAUGGACUAAGAAACAAGUAUACAAGCUGGCACAUGCUGAUAUACAGCGUGUAUACAUGAAGAACAGUAGAUGCUCACUAUCCUAUGGUGUAUGAAAAAAAUAGGGAGGAAAUAUGUUGACUUGCUCACUGAUAUACAGUGUAUACAUGGAGUUAUACAUGAAAACGCAACAGCUAUAGGGAUGAUAUACAGUUAGUAUACAGCUGCAGAAAAAUGGAUCAAAGUCCAUAAAGAAUAGGCCCAAAGUUGGCCAGAUUUGAAAUGGGCCAAACAGGGGCCCAAAUCUCAAACUUCAUUUUCUUUCUUGCACUCAAUUUAUGUUGAUUGUAAUCAAUAUAUAUUAUUUUGGUCACUAAACUAGAUAAAUCAAUAUAUAUAUAUAUAUAUAUAAAGGAGAAUUGUAGUUCAUCCUAUGUGGCAUGUCUAAGAAGCUUUCAAUGCCAUUUAUCUUUUUUCUCCUUUUUUUGAGCUUUUUUUUUAAUUUUUUUAAAUUUUUUGCUCUAUUUUUUAAUGUUAUAAUAACAAAUGACUCUAUAAUUGAUACUUCACAUACUAAUUAAAUAGUUUUAUUGUUUCAAUCACUCAAAUUCCUUAUUUAUGAAGGGAAAAGAGUUGGAAAAGUCUUUAGCAAUUUCUUUUUUUUUUUCUUUUUUUAAUGUUUUAAUAUUUUGGUUAAUUCUUUAUUCUUCUUUAAUAAUUAGUGUGAUUAAUUUGUAGUAACUUUAUUAAAAAAAUUUAUAAACUUUCUAUCUCCCCACGUCAGAGAUGAUCACUAAAUUAUUUUUUAACUUUUCGUCUUCUCCUCUAAUUAUUUAUAUUUUUUGAUGACAUUAAACCUUUUUCUAUCAAUUGUGGAGGAGAAAUCAUUGCUUCCCUUCAUAAUCCCUAUAAAGUUUUAGCUAUUUAUGUUAUGGAGAUUUUUUUUUCAUAAUUAUCUUUCUUUCUUCUUAAUCUUUUAUACUUACGAGUUAUGGGAUAAUAAUUAUUGUUGUGCAAGUUUGAUCUUUUCAGCUUUUCCACAAUAUGCAUAUAAAUUGUAUUAUUUUAAAAUUUUGAUCUUAUCAAUAUUUUUUGUAUUGCGAUUAUGGGUUGUCAUGUUUUAACUUUGAUCGUCUUUGUUUUUCUUUCAGGUAUAUGUAAACUCAAGGAAAGUAUUGAAGCUAACAACCGAGUGGAAGAUUAUUUAUUUUUGUUUUCUUCCUUCUUUGAAUUUGUUUCUUUAUUUUUCAGUAAGUAUGAAUUUCAUGCAUUUGAUAGUUCUACUCUUUAUAUGCCUACGUCCUCCGUUUCUUUCUGUUUAAGUUUUCACUAAUAUAUGUCUUACUAAAUCUUUAAUAAUUUUAAUAAUUUAUGUGCCUCUAUAUUCUAAAAUAAUUUAUAUUUAAAGGUGUAACGCCCUGAAUCUGGUAUGGACCGCUACACGGUGCUUAUGACCCUGAAGGACCAUAAGCUAGCCCAUGACAGAUAUCUGUGCCUGAACAUUGCAUAGUAUCAUAUAAAAUACGAAAAUAAAGGAUGAAAGGUCGUAAGGUUCAAAACUGAUAAAACAAUCUUUGAAUAAUAUGGUAUCACAAUACCAAAAAAAAAUCUGAAAUUAAUUGUCUGAACAACUGUAGUCUGAAAAGCCUUUAAAACUGAACUUUCUGAAUAAGGAGUUGAUAGGACAUGUCCCCAACUAACUUUAACUACUAAAAUAAACUAAAUAAUGAAGAAAUAAAGUAAUAGUCAUGUCCUCGAAGGAUGAGGAUUCACUGCUAUCUCUAGCUGCUGACACUAGAAUGUUACUGAUGCUCUGGAGCUCGUGCUUCGGAACCUAUGAUGUAAAUUAAAACCACAUAGCGCAAACGCAUCAGUACAAUUAAAUGUACUAGUAUGCAUGUGAGGAAGGCUGAAUGCAAAAUGGGUUUACAUGCAUGAACUAUAUUAACUAGUUGGAUAACAUGAACGUGAGAAUUCAUGCAUGAAUACAUAAUAACUAUAAUUGAGUUCAUGAUAACAUGAUUACUAAGUCUGAGUACUGAUAAACAUGAGAUGCUGAUAACUGAUAUAUCUGAAGUAACUGAUACUGAAUGAUUGUAUCUGACAGUCUAGGUUCUAAUGGAACUAGCUAAGUUCAGUACUGUUUUGAGUUGACUGCAUCUGAUAGCCUUGAAUUCUGUAGAACUAUCUGAGUUUUAUUAAUUAGACUGAAUGAUUGUAUCUGACAGUCCUAAUUCUGUAACUGAAAUUGUGGGAAGUAGUCAUCUAACCAACAUUUCCCAUAUAAUGCAUUAUAGCUGAGUUGAGGUCCAAUCUGUAACUCCAAUUGAAAGGGUGUCAAUACCGCGCCACUGGUAAAGACAAGUUGUGGGUGACCCUCAUCUGACAGUGUCCCCAAAAGAGAAUGUUGGGACCCUCAUUUGACAGUGUUUAUCCACCUCAUCAACCCUCAUCUGAAAGUGUCUAUGUCUCAAACUAUGCUGGCUAUAUAGUUCUGGAAUGCAAUGAUUGCUUCUAAGAAUCACACCCUCAUCUGACAGUGUGUGUUCCUAUCCUUGGGUUCACUCGGUGCUAAUUUCUACUCCCAUCUGAAUAGACACUGAACAUGAUUUACUGAACUGGACUAAACUGAAUUCAUGGAGUUCCGUUGACUGACGGAAUACUACUGAGAUUACUGAAUUACUGAGCUUUCCUGAGUCACAUGAUUGGCUCAGUUCUAUGGAUCAUGGCUUGACUGAGGAUAUCGUGAAAAUAUGACACUGUCUCUAGGAACACAACUAAAUUAUCGAGUACAAGUACCCCCAGGACUCAAUAGCAUAAAAGUAAUUCAUGGCAUAAAUUCUAAAGCACAACAAUGGCUAUAUAUAUAUAUUCAUAAUCCAUUGAUUAAGACAUUUCAUCAAACACUUGCUAUGCAUAAACUUGUACAUGAAUGGAGAUUUCAUAUUAUCAUAUUAUCAUACUAGUAUGGCACUGUUCCUUCGCAUAGGCAUUUAAUCAAACACAUCGGGAGCAUAGUUUGGUUAUACAACCAUCAACACAUCAAAUAAUCAUGGGUACGUUAAUCAACUUGUAAAUUGAAGGGUUUAUCAUGAAUAUCAUGUAAAUCAUCACAUAGUAGAAUCAAUUCUUGUAUUUAAUAGCCUUUAACACGGAACAAAACCCAACCAUAAUAUGAACAUCAAUUUUUAAUUCAAUCAAAUCAUGAACAUUCAUAAAUACACAAAUCUUGGAUUUUGAAAGAGAUUCUUGAGCUUCAUGGGUGGAAGAGACCUAUGAAUCAACACAUGACAUACCUGAGUUAAUGAAUUUGGAGGGAUUGAUGGAUAGUUGAUAGUUUUUGUGAUUUGGCCCUUGAAUUUGAGAGCUAGGGUUUCUUGGCUUGAGAGAGAGCAACUUAAUUUGGGAAAAAAUAGAGUGAAUAAUGAUAUCCUUAGGUCAUGUAGGGUUAAAUUUCGUGUUUAGGGCUGAACUAAAAUCAUGGGAAAAGACCCAUUUAACCCUGGACGCGUCUUUUAAUUUUUGUGGAAAUUUCUCAACCUGGACCCCUGGUGCGAUGCGGAGCUAUCACGUCGUGUCUUUGGAAAGUGACAAUUGGAAAAUUGGGUGACAUCGCGAUGCAUACAUAUCGCGUUGCCGCUAGUUUGAGACCUGAAAGUUUGGCGCGAUGCGGGGACAUCGCGGAGCUUCAUUGAAAUUUGAUAAUUAGGAUUUGGGAGCCCUCUGCGACGCGGUGAAAUCGAGGAGUCUUACUGGAAAUUGACAAAUGUCAUUUUGGCUGAUGGCGCAACGCACCACAAUCUAACAUGGCGUUGUUUUACUACUAGGAUUUGAAAUAGUCAUAACUUCUUAUCCGGUCAUCAGAUUUGGGCGAAUCUUAUAUCGAUGGAUAUCUUAUUGAAUUUUUCACAUGAUAAAAAGUGAACAUCUUGAAAAUACCACAUGUAUAAAAGUGUAUUCAUAUUUAAAACAAGUCUUUGGUAUUUUUGGGAUGAAUUUAAGCUAGUAGAAGUAAUGGGUAUUACAAAAGGUAAAGUUGGAAAAUAAUUAUUCAUAUUCUCUCUUGAUUUUUUAAAUUGAUAAAUAUUUAGAGGCAACUAUUUUUAGUAUAUAUGACAACAAAGUAACGAAGGGGGCAUAUAGUCAGGAGUAUAUAGUCGGUUCUCUUUAUAUAUAUAGACACACUUUACUUUUACGGUAAAUAUUGUAAUUAACAUCUACUACACCAUAUAUUUUUCUUGUUUAUUUUUAAAUAUAAUAAGAUGAUAUAUGUUCUCAUAGAAGUGUGUGUAUAUGUUAUAAUUGUGGUAUAUAGCAUGAUUCAUUCAUUUUUACUAUUCUCACUACUUUUCCUUUGAUUCAAUUCACUCCAACUUGACUUAGGUGACAUAUCAACAAAGCCAAAAAAGAAUUAUAUUUCUUUAUUCAGUCUCUUGUGUCCUAUACCUUUUAUUUUGCUUAUCAUCAUUUUUUUUUUUGUAUUUUUUCAAUAAAUUUUAAAAAAAAUUAUUUGUAAGAAAUUUUUUUUAGACUAUGGCAAACAAGUACACUAAUUACUUUAUAAUUAUCUAUAUUCACUGCUCAAUUAAAAAUAAAAUGCAUUUAAGAACAUUAAAUAAUUAUUAGUUUUAAAACCUUUCCUUAUCCUACUAAUUUAAUCCGAUUAAACAUAAUCUAAAGAUGCAAAAAGAAAAAUGAUAAAAAAAAAUUAGUUUAUUUUAUUGAAAAAUGCAAAAUCUCAAAUAUAAUAUUGUAAUAUAAAAUUUAAAAUCCGUAAAAAUUCAAAGGUCACACGCAACAAAAGAAACGUCUUGAUAUUAAUUAAUAUUAUUAAUAAUUAACAAUUAAUGGCAAAAUAAAUAAGAAAAUUGGCAUUUGGCAACUGCAUGUAUAUAAUGGGUCUUGGGUGUUCUUGUUUUUAUUUAUGUAUUCAAGUUUCUCUCUGUGUGUAUAUUUAUUAUAAAUUAUAUAGUGGAGUCUCGAAUCCUCCAAUUAGGUUGUAGUUCCUCCAAUUCUAAAUAAGUGGUAUGCUUAGUUUUUUUGGUAUGAAUAUUUUAUUUGUUGAACUUUUUAUAAUUGUCUUCAGAUUUUUCUCUGUUUGUUAUUUUCCUUUUUAGUUUCCAUUAACAUAGCUUUAUCUGUAGAUUUUUCUAUUUCUUCUUCUCUCUCUUUUAUUUCUACAUUUAGUGUGUGGUGUUGCUUGGGGCUUUUAGCUAUAGGUGACAAAAGACUUAAAAAUGAGGUGUAGGUGACACAAGUCUUAAUUAUUAAGUGGAGGUGACAAUUACUUUAUUAUGGAUUAAGAAAGUUGAGAAAGUUUGAAAAUAACUCAUAAGUUUUUAAAUUUAUACUUUGAUCCAAAUGUUAGUUCAUAUAACAGAAAACGGAGGAAAAAAAAUGCGCGUUUCUCUCUCUUCUCAUCGUGUUGUUUUCUUUCUCUUCACGAUUAUUGUUGUUCAUUGUUGCUUCGGCUUUAUUCAUCAUCUUUUACUUCAUUAUCAUCAUCUUCUACUUUAUUAGCAUCUUUAUCUUCUUCUUGUCGACCAUUGUUGUUGUUGUUGUUGUUACAACGCUAUGCUGCUAUCUGACCAAUUUCUUAGGUAAAAUUUUAUUUCCUACAUCACUUUCUACUUUGGCAUUACUUCAUAAGGUGACUUUGGAAAGUAAACUUAUGAUUUUUAUUCGAAUUUGUCAUCUGGGUACACUGUUACUGUUGUUUUUCCAAUAAUGGAUAGAACCUCGAUCGUGGAUCCAACAAAAGUGGCCAUAAUUUAAAUAGAACACUCAUCUGAUGCACCAGACUGAUUAUCUGUUGCAUAAGAAUGAUUAUCUGUUGCAUCAGACUGAUUAUCUGUUGCAACAGAUUAUUAAUCUAUUUGGAACAACACAAAUCAACCCCUGACACGAACCCAAAAGAUAACCAAUUUCAUUAUCUGAUGCAAUAGACUAGUUAUCUACUGCAUUAGACUGAUUAUCUAUUGCAUUAGACUUAUUAUCUGUUGCAUCAGACGUAUUAUACUUAUUAUCUAUUGCAUCAGACUUAUUAUCUGUUACAACAAAUGUUUAAUCUGUUUGGAACAACACAAAUCAAUCCCUGCCACACAAACCUAACAGAUAACCAAUAUGUUUCAACUCUUGUUAUUGCUAUUGGAUUCAAAAUUAUUUCUUACGUCCAAUCAUCGACAUGUUUGUUUGCUGAGAAUAUACUAGACAAAAUGAAAAUUAAAUACUCUAGCCGUCUCAAAUUUUCCAUCCCAAAUUUUCUAAUUUGAUUUCUCAUUUUAUUUGUCUUUUUUCAUUAAUCAAGAAGAGAUUAAAAAAUUUUCAUGUUUUACCGUUUCUUUUAACGUUCUGUUACGGUUAUAAAUUGUGUUUAUAAUUUUUCUUCUUAUUAUUUAUUUAUGAAUCACUUUUUAUAUUAAAUAAUCAAAAAGUCAUGUCUUUUGUAGAAAUGGUAAUUAAAUAAUCGGAAAGUCGAUUUUCAUAAUAUAGGGUUAGUCGAAAAGACACACACAACCGUCGAUAUCCCUUAAUUAAAUAAAACUGGUGACUUUUCAAAUAUCAAAAACAAACAGGCGUGACUGUUCACCUCCAUUUAUUAAUACUAAUGACUUUUUAAUUACUGUGGAAAGUUAUGACUUAAUUAGUUCUUUUCAGUAUUCGUUUUUAUUGAGUUGUGACAACAAAUUAUAUUGUUGCAUCAGAUUACCAUUUGUUGCAACAAAUCGAUAAUUUGUUGCAUCAUAUAUUAUCUUUUGCAACAUAUAUCUUUUUAAUAAUCAUCAUAUUUUAAUUGUAGACAUGUCAUUCGUUGAGAGAAAGAAAUAGGCAGUAUGAAAAUUAAAUAUUAAUUAAAACGUCAAAUGCAUCAAACAUAAAUUUUUUAUUAAACAAAAAAAUAAAAGUACAUAGGUAAAAGAAAAAAAAACUUAACUAUUAUUAUCAUCAUUAUUAUUUGCGUGGCUAGCCGGUCAAUCUUCAACCGGAAGCAACAGCGCCCUCCUCAACCUGUGGAUCUCCCGCAGCAUCCUUACUCUGACGGCGGCCAACUCCAAAUAGCGGUCAUGAACCUUCUUCUACAGUUCCCGCAUGGCGUCUCGUAAAAUAGCGACAUCCCAAACUGGAUCAGCCAUAUCUAGAAAACGCAUAAGUUGACAAAACACAUGUAAAAACAAAAGUAAAGAAAGAAAGAAUUCGAAUGUAAUACAAUGUAUAUUUACACAAAAAUAAAAAAAUAACUUAUCAGAGACGGGAAAAAGCUAUCAAGUCCUUGAAGAAAAAAUAGUUGACGGUGUUAUAAGAGCAAGGAAUAAAUAGUGUGUAGUAGAAUAAACGAUUGAGUAAGGAGGGACCUAUUUCUGGAGGAUUAAACUUGAAUGAGUUAGGAAAAAAGUCACAACUCUUCACCUCCAUCUAUCUAUUAAUGACAUUCUUGAUUACUGCAAAAAGUUAUGACUUAAUUAAAUUGAGCAAUAUUGGGAUAAGUCAUGACUCUUUAGCUUAUUAUUAUUAAUAAUUAGUUCUUUUCAGGAACCGUUUUACACAAAGUUGCAACAACAGAUUAUAUAUCUAUUGCAUCAGAUAAUUCAUCUGUGACAACAGAUAUAUCAUCCGUUGCAACAAUAGAUAACCUGUUGCAUCGAAUAAUCUAUCCGUUGCAACAUAUAAUCUAUAUAUCUUGUUUUUAAAAAAAAUUAUCAUCAUAUCAUUAAUCUAAAUUUGCCGACCUUUUUAUUAUAUAAAUUAAUAAAACAGAUUUAAAAACAAGAAUAUUUUUGGUGAGUGUUUUACGGUUUAAAUUGUAUUUAUCAUUUAUUUCCUUAUUGUUUCUAUGAAAAGAAAUGACUUAUUUAAAUCAAGCUGGUGAACCAGAGUUUUUUAUUAUUGUGACAAGUCAUGACUUUUAGCUUAUUAAAUUUAAAUAACCUUUUUCUCAUUUUAAAAAUCGAAGUCACCUCCUAGUUUGAUUUUCAAUAGCCGUUUCUUUAAUAAAAAAAUAAUUAUUUUUUUUAUUGAGUUAUGGCAACAGAUUGUAUAUCUGUUGCAUCAGAUAACUCAUCUGUUGCAAAAAAUCGACCAUCUGUUUAAGGAGCUUUUUUGAUUUCUUCUAACUGAUUCAUCAGUCACAACAGAUGAGGAAUUUGAUGCAUCAGCUGCAUUGUUUGUUUUUGAUUGUUUAAAGUGUUUACACAAAAAGUCACAGUCACGAUUAAUCAUUCACCUUUUUCUUAACAAUCAUAUAAUCAUAUAACUUAAUUGAUCCAACGUUAUAACAUUUUUUAAAUUAAAUAAUCUUUCUUUUACGGUUAUAAUAUCAUUUUGUUCCUUAUUAUUUUAAUAACGAACCGUUUUAGAAUAAUCAUCCUGACUUUUCACCACCAUCUGUUGCCACAAGUGCUCAAUCCCUACCUCCAACCGUCGACAUGUUGAGAAUAGGGAAUAAAUAGAAUGAUAAUUAAAUAUUAAAUAAGAAUUAAAAAUUCAAAGUCGACCAAACUAAACUAAGAAACAUAUACAUAUAUUUUUUUGAAACCCUUAUAGGAAGACCGGAUAUAAAAAAGGGAAAAAAUACAUAGAGAUUGCUGAUUAUGUCUUCUCAAGACUUGCUUCUACCAAAAAACUGUUCUUCAUUGAGUGUUGCACUAUCCAUAUAUGCUGCAGCACAGGAUCUAUCAGCCAAGAGAGCAUUUGCCUUGGAAAAACUUAAGAAAAACCUGACAUACUUCUCCUUGACGUUGCUUUAAAAUAAAUCUAACAGCUGGAUAAUCUGUUGUAAAAUAUAUUCCAUUUGUCUGAUAACUUACAAAUAAUAUAUUGACAAUCUGUUGCAACAGAUGACUAGCAACUUGCAACAGAUUCAGCUAUUAGAUUUAUUUUAAAGCAAUUUUCUUAUCUCUACUCAAGAUCAGGGAGAUGUAUGGAAGGUUCUCUUUGAGUUUUUCCAAGAAAAGCGCUCUCUCAGCUAAUAGAUCCGAUGAUGCAGCAUAUAUGAAUAGUGCAACACUCAAUGAAGAACAGUUUUCUAAUAGAAACAAGUCUUGAGAAGACAUAAUCGGCAAUCUAUGUAUUAGCUUUCGCUGUGUCAAAUAGUUCUGUUGAUAUCUUGUCCUCUAUGGGAGAACAAGAUAUCUGUUGACUAACUGAAGCAAAGACGUCUUCUGAAUUAUCAAACUUCACAGGGAAGUCUGUUGGCUCAAUAACAUCAGAUGUCUUGCUUUCGGUAUUAGCUAAUGAUGGGGAGAUUCUGCCUUCCUCAGCAUCCUUAAAAGAAAAAUCUCUCAGAAUUAGAUGGUAACUCGACAUAACGACAAAAGAUGAACUAAAUCUAGCAUUCAAUUUUUCCUUCCUAUUCCUUCCCUUUUUAUCUUCUUACCUUUUCAAAUUCAAAAUUUUUCUUUUUCGAAUACUUGAUAGUGCCUUGAAAUUUGCUUUCUUUCUCCUCUUAGCCUUAAUAUCCAAUGUUCCAACAGUUGCUCUAUCUAAUGCAACAUCAACAACAGCAUAAACUACAAAGAAACAACCAAUUAAAAAUAUCAACAACAAAGAAAACAACAACAUUAGUUCCAACUUUUAUCAAUAACAAAGAAGUAACAUCCUAUGUUCCAACACCAUCAACAACAUACCACAAGUUCUAAAAAUGUCAAUCCCACUAACAACAUCAAUAACAACAUCAACAACAAAUAAAUAAACAAAAUAAUAUUCCUCCCAUUUUUAUCUUCUCACCUUUACAGAUUUAAAAUUUUUUUUUUCGAAUACUUGAUAAUGCCUUGGAAAUUACUUUCUUUAUCCUCUUAGCCUUAAUCUCCAAUGUUUCAAUAAUUGCUCCAUCUAUUGCGACAUCAACAACAACAUAAACUAUAAAGAAAUAACAAAUACUUCUGUUAGAUAUCUGACCUUUUACAUCAGCAGUUAAUGCAUUAACAGUAUUAAUCACCCCAUCAUGUUUUGGCUUGCACUCUUCACAUUUGCAUGCACAAUAUAAGCAAAGAGGGGCAAGAUCUCCAAACCUUAGCCUAAGUUAGUGAACAGGUUAAAUGAUCUUAAUAUCUCAGCCUUUCUACUGAUCAUUCUUCUCCCAUGUAGAGGACAACAAUAAAGAAGCAAACAAAUUAUAUACAAAAAAAUGAUACUUCCAACAAGGCUUUUAAACUUCUCCCAGUAGAUGACUUUUUUCGCAUAUUGUAAUAAAAAUUCUCGGUUCAUUUAUUCAACACUUAAAAGUUCCUUCAAAUUUUUUAAAUAAAUAUGAUAUGAGUAAAUAGUAAUUAAAUAAAAAAUAGAUGUAAAUAACUUACUUGCAAAUAAGAAGACGAGAAUGAAAGAGCAAUAAUGAACCAUACCUUAAUGUCAAUAAAGAGAUCAAAACAACAAUUUGCUUCGAGGAAAGAUAUGGAUCGGUUUAGAUCUAAUAGGAUCUUUAUGAGAAAGAGAAGAGAAAAGAGAGAAAAAAGAAAAGGAUGUGAUAACCCUAAAGAGGAGAGAAAGAAAAAGAUGAGAGAUGAAUAGAACAAAAUAAAUUUAGCGCUGCAGCUGAAGGAGGAGAGAUAAGAUAAUUCUAGAUGUGUUGUAUACGUAGACUUGGAUUUUCAAUAUUCAUUAAUUAAUGUUCAUUAAUAAUUUGAAGGGAACGUGGAAGACUAUUGACAUUGAAAAGACAAGACAAAACUGCUCAAUGAACUCACUUUUGAGUUAUCCAAGAAACAUUUUUUACCGCCUUUAGUAGUAGUAUAUAGUGUACUACUUUAUCUACUCAGACAGAAGUUUGCUUUAAAAUUAAAAGGAGAAAAAAUAUUUUCAAACAGAUAUUCCAUUUGUUGCAACAUAUAUAAAUAUCUAUUUAAAAAUCCGAACAACUCAUUCAUUUUUUACAACAAAUAUUAAUAUCUGUUUAUAAAUCCCAAUAGUUCAGUUGUCUGUGACAACAGAUGAAAAUGUCAUUUGAUAAUCAAAUAUGUCAUCUGUUACAAUAGAUAUUAAUAUCUGUUGGAAAAUUUCCAAUAGCUCAGUCAUCUAUCACAAUAGAUACAAAUGUCUAUUUGAUUAUUAAAUUAGAUGUGAAAUCUGUUGCAACAAAUAUGAAUAUCUGUUUGAUAAUUUCUAACAGCUAAGUCAUUUGUUGCAACAGAUUUUAUUGCAAUUGAUUUAGGUGGAAUUAGGGAUGAAUGAAUGAUCUCACAGGGUUAACUACAAUUCUAACGGAGUCUUUUCAAUUGCAUGGUGUUGGUAUUGCGUUCACCCCGACCCGAGUCCUCGAUCGAUCACUCUGAGUUGAAAUAAGUUCUCGUCAACUCAAUGUAAACAUAGUGAUAGUACCUAAAUUGAUUUAGGUGGAACUAAGGAUGAAUGAAUGAUCUCACAGGGUCAACUACAAUUCCAAUUGAGUCUUUGCCAUUGGAUGGUGUUGGUAUUGCAUUCACCCCGACCCGAGUCUUCGAUCGAUCGCUCUGAGUUGAACUGAAUUCUUGGAAACUCAAUGUUAACAUAGUGAUAGUACCUAAAUUAAUUUAGGUAGAACUAGGGAUAAAUGAAUGAGCUCAUAGAGUCAACUACAAUUCCAACUGAGUCUUUGCAAUUGCAUGGUGUUGGUAUUCCACUCACCCCGACCCGAGUCCUCGAUCGAUCUCUUUGAGUUGAAAUGAGUUCUCGUCAACUUAAUGUUAACAUAGUGAUAGUACCUAAAUUGAUUUAGUUGUAACUAGGGAUGAAUGAAUAAGCUCACAGGGUCAACUACAAUUCCAACUGAGUCUUUGCAAUUGCAUGGUUUUGGUAUUGCGUUCACCCUGACCCGAGUCCUCAAUCGAUCUCUCUGAGUUGAAAUAAGUUCUCAUCAACUCAAUGUUAACAUAGUGAUAGUACCUAAAUUAAUUUAGGUGAAACUAGUGAUGAAUGGAUGAGCUCACAGGGUCAACUACAAUUCCAAUUGAGUCUUUGCCAUUGCAUGGUGUUGGUAUUGUGUUCACCCUAACCCGAGUCCUCGAUAGAUCUCUCUGAGUUGAAAUGAGUUCUCUUCAACUCAAUGUUAACAUAGAUAGUACCUAAAUUGAUUUAGGUGGAACUAGGGGCGAAUGAAUGAGCUCAUAGGGUCAACUAUAAUUCCAACUGAGUCUUUGUAAUUGCAUGGUGUUGGUAUUGCGUUCACCCCGACUCGAGUCCUCGAUCGAUCGCUCUGAGUUGAGAUGAGUUCUCGUCAACUCAAUAUUAACAUAGUGAUAGUACCUAAAUUGAUUUAGGUGGAACUAGGAAUGAAUGAAUGAGAUCACAGGGUCAACUACAAUUCCAACUGAGUCUUUGUAAUUGCAUGGUGUUGGUAUUGCGUUCACCCCGACUCGAGUCCUCGAUCGAUCGCUCUGAGUUGAAAUGAGUUCUCAUCAACUCAAUGUUAACAUAGUGAUAAUACCUAAAUUAAUUUAUGUGGAACUAGGGACGAAUGAAUGAGCUCACAGGGUCAACUACAAUUCCAACAAAGUCUUUCCAAUUACAUGGUGUUGGUAUUGCAUUCACCCCGACCUGAGUCCUCGAUCGAUAGCUCUAAGUUGAAAUGAGUUCUCGUCAACUCAAUGCUAACAUAGUGAUAGUACCUAAAUUGAUUUAGGUGGAACUAGGAAUGAACGAAUGAGCUCAUAGGGUCAACUACAAUUCCAACAGAGUCUUUGUAAUUGCAUGGUGUUGGUAUUGCGUUCACCCCGACCCGAAUCCUCGAUUGAUCGCUCUGAGUUGAAAUGAGUUCUUGUUAUUUUUAAAAUUAAUUAAGAUCAAUUUGGACCAAAGUAACAAUUUCAAAACUUGUCAUUCUUUUCUAAAAUUUUAAAUCAACCCAUACAAAUCAUCCAUUUGCGUGAAAAACUUUUCAUUUCAAAUCUAAAGUUCUCACUCUUGUCUCUCUCUUUCUCUGUCUCUCCUUCUCUAUCUCUCAAUAAUACAAAAAAAACUACUCAACAUAUUGCUCAACCCUUCAAAACAGGUCAAUUUUCUUUCCAUUUACGACAACAUAUAGUUGUUAUUUUCAUCUUUAUUACCGCUUGUAUCUAUCAUUUUCUCUUUCUUCGCAGGUAACAGAGUUCGAGAGGAGUUCUACAUUUCUUCUUUAUUCUAAAAAAUAGGGCUUUUUAUUAAUUAUGAAAAAUAAGACUUUUAGUUAUAUUAUCUUCGAUAAUGGGUUAACAAUUUUGAGUUUUGAUGCUAAAAAGGUUGGAAGCAUCUGAGAAAAUCCUAGUGUUUCUCUCAGUGUCAUGUUGACUGUCGUGGUAUUGUUGGAUGGUGUUUGUGGUGUUGAUGGUUGCUGUUGGUGGUGGUGUCGAUAUUUGUAUUUUUUGGUGGUGUUGUCUGUGGUCUUGGUGUUCGUAUUGGUGGCAUUGGGGGUGGUCUUGGUGGCAUUGCUUAUGGUUGUGGUGGUCCAUCUGUUGCAAUGGGUGGAAGAUCUGUUGGGAGACAUUAAAUAGGUCUUCAAACAGAUUCCCUAUUUGUUCCAACUGAUGAGCUAUCUAUUGGAGUAUUUUCUUGUAAUAUGGCGUAGAAUAAUUUAUUAAAAAAUUUUCAUCUGUUGCAACAGGUGGAAUAUUUGUUGGGAGAUAUUAAAUAGGUCUUCAAACAGAUUCUCUAUCUGUUCCAACUGUUUUAAUGUGGCGUAGAAUAAUUUAUUGAAAUUUGUCUAACCUUUUUUAAAAAAAUUAUGCAGACAUCAAAUGCAAUGUAUUUUUUGUUUUUCUAUUGUUUGUAGUUAAAAGAUGUCUCCCAAAAGAAUAGAAACUGUAAAUGGAUCCACCUUUGACCACCCAACAAAAAAGGCAAGAGUACAGAUAGAUUUGAAGGAACUUCUAGAAUAAUCUCAGUCAGGGCAAAAUGAAGCUGAGGAAAGUGAUAUCUCCUUCUCACCAAUGGGGUGUGAUAAUAUCGAAAUCCCAAAAUGAUUUUAUCAAAACUAUUAGUAUAGACGGCUUUCGAGUUAUGAUGCUGAUUAGUAGGCCUGAUGUAGAAUUUCAUGAUGUUGUACUUAAAUGACAGUUGGGAAAACUUUUUAACGAGCUUAGGAGUAUUAUGAAAGAGGAAAACAUAGAUGGACUUUUUAAGAAGAGCUGCUUUGCAUACUUUCUUGAGUUGUCUGAGGCCCGCCCUGUUUGUUUCCCAAUGCUCAUGGUAUAUGACCUUCUCAAGCGCAGGAUCAUGUAUACGGGGGAUGAUGGUUCAAAGGAGGGUAGAAAAAAGAUUAAUGAAUUCUGGAUCAACUACUGUGGCAUCCCGGUUUAUUUUGGAUUGAAAGAGUUUCCCAUAGUGAUGGGCUUUAGAUGCGAUCAUCUAGAAGAACCUCCCAUCAAGGAAACAGCCCACAAAGGGUCUAACAAACGCAAUCUAAAAAAAAAAGGGUUGUUGGGCAUUGUUGGACCUAGUUACAUAGUGAAGAAUUUGAAUGAGGGUCUAAAAAAUAAAGACAUACCAAAGCACUACAGGGAGAAAUUGUGCUUAGUUUGGUUUGUCCAUUCUAUUUUAUUGGGAAGAGACAUCAAGAAAGUCAUAGAAGAUGAUUUGUUGGCACUUGCUGAUGAUUUUGGGAAAUUCAAUGACUAUCCCUGGGGAUAUGACAGCUAUUAUUUAACUUUCAAAUAUUUACUAAAAAAACUAAAGCCAAAGACGACCACAUUAUACGACUUUUCUUAGAAUUUCGUGGUAAAAUUGAUCACUAUUUUUACUCAUUCAUUAAUUUAUAUUAAUAUAGUUAGUAUGACUUUUUUUCUUUGCUUGCUUCCUAUUUACUUUUUUUGGGUUUGGGCAUGUGAAGCCAUUCCUCCCCUUCAAAUGCAGUUAAAGUGUUACCCAAAUAAGGUUUCUUAUCCAAGGAUGCUUAGGUGGUUGGCUGCAUCAAAGAGCAACAAAAAACAUAUUAAGGAGGUGGAUCUCUUUAACCCUCCAGAUGAUGCGGUACGUCUUCUUUCAACUAAAAUAACUUGCCUCAAAGAAAGAUAUUAAAAUAGAUGUUCCAUCUGUUGCGAUUGAUGGGCCGCCUGUUACAAUAGAUUGCUCGUCAACUGCAACAGGUGCAACAAAUGGGUAAUCUAUUGUGGCAAAUGAUCUAUAUUUCAUAACAGAUUAACCAUCUAUUGCUCUGGUUCUCUGAAACCGACUCAACAGAUUACCUAUCUAAUAUAAAUUAUGCAACAGAUGUGUAAUCUGAUGAAACAUAAUAUCAAUCUAUUGCGACAUACAGAUCAUCUAUUGCGGCAGCUGGAUCGUCUGUUGCAUAAGUUGGAUGUGUUAACAUCCAUGUAACCCGAGCCUCAUGUAACCCAACUGACUGUAGAUUAUUAUUAUAUGAUUUAAAUGCCUCCUGUCUUUUUUAUAGGUCGUACAUCCUUAGAUUGUGCCUACCAAUGAUGAGCUGGGGAUGACUUAUUUUCUUACUCCAGGCCUUGUUGAUACAAAAGAAGAUCCAAUGGUGGAGUUAAUAAAAAGGGAAUUGGAUGGAGCAACAUCCAUAAGAAGAGCAGUUAGGCAAGGUCAGCCUAAUAUUGAAGCUCUUAAUGAACAACCUCAAACUGCAACAGAAUCGGGUGCUUCUUCUGGGGUUGUUGUUGGUGGAGUUGUUUAUUAUGGUGGCAGUUAUCCUGAUGUUGCUGCUGCUGCCAAUCGUCCCUUGAAAAAAAAAUACUUUUAAAAACACCCCUUGCAUAGGUCCCUCUUACCCCUACACCGGUCCCUUUCACCCUUACAACGGUCCCUCUCACCUCUCCUCACCCUCAUGUUCUUAUUGGAAAUACAAAGUAUGCAAGGACAGAGAGGAUAAACUCCUCAAAAAGCUAGAGGAUAUUACUGAAGCUACCGAGGAGUUGAAAUCCAAGAGGGGUGUCAUACCAUCCAAUGAGGUGAGGGAGCCAUGGACUACUACAGAGGCGGUUAGGAGAAAGAGAAUAAAAAUUAGAAAGAUUCUCUCCAUUCUUAAGUCAACAAAAAUUGCAACUCCUCCCUCUCCAAGAGUUAUUGAAGUUUAGGGGCCACUGAAGAAGGUGGACAUAUUCGCGGCUCCAAGAGUUGUUGAGGUUCAGGGGCCGUCGAAGAAGGUGGACAUAUUCACGACACUUGGCAAGGAUAAGAAAAUGGAACUGUAAGAAACCAUGAAGAUGAAUGUUCGAAAAGAUUACACCAUGCAUUCAUUUGUCUCCAAAGACUUCACAAAUAUGACAAGUAUGUGUGUGUGGUACGAGGACAAUGUAAGUUUACUUUGCUAACCAAGCAUUCCAAUCUACUCCGUGAAGAAUCAUCUAUGCAGCAAAUGUGUAAUCUGUUGCAACAUCUUUGUAUUCUGUUGCAACAUAAUGCAUAUCUGUUGCAUAAGUUGCAUUGGCUGGGUAAUCUGUGAACUGAUUCAGAGAACCUUCUACAUCAAAUUCUUUUCACUAUGUUUUUGUUCUUUACAAUACUAACCUAUUUAAAAUUUAUCUUCUUAUACCACAGUAUAUUGAUGAAAUUCUCUGCCUCAUGAGGGGCAGGCAAUUAGUGUACCUGAAUGCUUAUGAUGCUCCCGAUAGGAUAAUGGACCUCAAAUUCUACAACAAUUUCAAGGAUAGGUACAAUGCUCUCUGUAAGAGAGCUGGUAUCGAUGGCCAAAGAUUUGAUGAGUUAGUUUCUACAUUCCAAUGGGAUGAAGACGCAAUUAACUAUGUUAGAAGAAAGAGGCCAUAUCCACACGGUAAGAGCUGCACCUAGGCAAAGAGAAUCCUUACAGUCAUGAACGUGUAUGUCAAACAUUUUCUCGCUGUUGAGAUACUAUUCUAUGAGGGAAAGAUUAAGGUUUAUGACUGCAACUUACCCGUCUUCAGCGAGGAUGAGUUUUUAGCCCACAUGCAGCCACUCUUAAAGUUGUUGCCCAAGUUGUUGACGCAGAGUAAGUUGAUGGAUCAUUUUCCGGAUGAAGUAUAAGGAAUCAUGGGAUUUUAAAGGUCGAAAUAAGAACAUCAAUAUCCAGAGAAAUAGAAUCAGUGCAGCGUGCGGUCGUACUCGCUUGCAUACAUUGAGUGUUUGCUGACCGGCACAGAAAUGAUCGGUAUGUGCGAUGCUAAUGUGGGAAAGAUGCAAUGGGUCUGGUCUUAUAGGGUACUAACUAAAUGGUUGGAGGCCGUUUAUAAAGAAGAAUAUGUACAAAUACAGAAACAAAAUUGAUAAUAAUUUUUCAUUUCAAGCCACUUCACUUUACAUGUAGUGGCAAUAAUUUUUGUGACUGGUAAAAUUUGAAUUUUUAUAAUGCAACAAAUUUUAUAUCUGUUCUAAUAGAUAUAAUACCUGUUGUGACAGAUUGAUUAUUUAUUGAAAUAUGUUGGUCAUCUGUUGCAUUAUGCAGAUGUUUCCCAGUCUGCCUUUCACAAUAGAUAUAAAAUCUAUUGCAACAUAUAAUAUAUCUGUUGCAACUGAUCGGUAAUCUGUUGUAAUAAAUCAAGAAAGUAGGAAGACCUGUUAUAUAAUUUCCAACAGAUGACCUAACUUAAAUGGUUGGAGCCCGUGUAUAACGAAGAAUAUGUACAAAGACGGAGACGAAAAAGAUAACAUUGUUUAUUUCAAGCCACUCACUUCACUUACUUUACAUGUAGUGGCAAUAAUUUCUGUCUAGCGAAAGUUGAAUUUUUAUAAUGCAAUAGAUUUUAUAUCUAUUGUAACAGAUAUAGUACCUGUUAUAUAAUUUCCAGUAGAUGACCUACGUGUUGCAUCUCAUGUUGCAACAUAUUCUGUUUGAUAAGAUAUGUCGUCUGUUGAAGCAUAUGUAUUAUCUUUUGCGAUAUUUGAAUCUAGUAUUCCAUUUCAAUCAACAUGUUCAAAAUUAAGGAUCAAAUUAUAUCCAUAGACAGCAUAAAAUAAAUCGAAGCCUUCGUUGAAAUUAUAUGAAAUAACUCAACAAAUAAAUCAAAUGUAAAGAAAAUCAUUAUGAGUGCAAAUGAUCUACUCUACAAAUAAAUCAACAAGUUAGACCAAGGAGGAUAGAUUAUUACAUUGACAGACUUAAUAUAUAAAGAUCUAAUCAAUAUGGACAAGUUGCCAUUCAUCUGGUGUUACGAAAUUCGGCUUUGGUCGUCAUGGAUCUUUAAUGUUGCCUGCGUACGUCUUCUGAGCUUUCUCUUCUCCAUAUUUCCAUAAAAGAGCAGCAUAUCUUUUGCGGAGUAAUCCAGCAUCAAGUCCAUUAUUUGGUACUUCUAAUCCAUCUCUCAAAUACUCGGCGUACGCGGCAACAAAAAGCCCGCAAUCCCUGCGUUUUAAAAAAAUAGAUAAUCCAUAUCUUGCCGUUCAUGCAAGCGUUAUGAAAUUUGUGAAAUAAAACUAAAUCAUGACACUUAAACUUACAGGCUACCAAUGGUUUGUUAAGAAAUUCCUUCAACAUAUUGUACAUUAAAUGGAUUAGCCAUUUUAUCUCGGUAUGCUUCAAUCGUCGACCAAUUAGUAUGAAUCUUUUGGUCCAAAAAGCCACUCAUAUCAAGGUAAGUAGGCAAUAUUUUGGUCAGCUUUUGUAUCUCAGAUGACAGCCUGAAAUAUCUCCUUUGUGACAUUGAGUCAUAAACUUGGAUGCGCCUCUCUUUUAGAAUGAUGACAGCCAACACUCAAUAGAAUUCAUCACUAUAAUUGAUUGAGAUGUACACUUCGUCGACCAAAUGCCAAGGUAAGCCAGCCUGAAUGCUAAAACCUUUGAUGAUGUUGAUUAAGUAUUUCUCAUUUUGGAAAACAUCCAGUUGUUGUUGAUAAUACCUAUCGUAGGCAUUAUUGAUGUAAACUUUGUACAAAUAAUUGU